UUAUGUUAAGUCAACUGUCUCCUUUUGCCUCAAUUUCGUUUUUCCCCUUCUCUUCUCAAAACCCUUUCUUUUUCCCGCAGCCCACCAAACCAGUCUCAGAAAAACGACGAUCUCGAACCUGUUCACCGUUGGAUCGUCGUGAAAUUUGAGUAUCAUGUUCGCAACACAAUUCUGAGCAUUCUCACCGUUGGGAAUUUCGAUAUCAUGUCUGAACUGAGAGAAACACCCUUCGCAUUGUAGCUUUUUUAUUUCCCGCAGAAACCCAGAACUGUCUUGGUAAAACUACGAUCCCGGUUUCGUUAACCGUUGGAUUAUUGUGAAAUUUGGAUAUGUUGUUCGAAAUUCAAUUCCGCACACUACCACCGUUGGGAUUUAUGAGAUAAUAUUCGUGGAGGGAGAAAAAGGAAUCGCAUGAAGACAGUAUAAGUGGAGGUUUCAAUCUCUUCUCCGUCUCUCUAACGUUUGAGAAUUUUAUCGGAGCAGUCGGAGAAAUAACUGAAAGAAUUUCAGGGAACCGCUAGAGAUGUUGCUAUCCCUGGCUGAAGACACGUGAGUCCGCUCAGAGGUAAGGGAUGAGUUAUUCACAGUUGGGGAUUAGUGAGAACAUGUGUAGGGAUCCUUAGAGGAUUAAAUUGGGGUUUUAUUUUGAGAUGUUUAUUAAAUUGCAAUUUUUCCUUUAUGAUUAUAAAUAAAAUAUUGAUGUCCUAAUGAAAAUUGCUUGAUAAAUUGUGCUCUUGAUAUUUGUAUAUUUCGACCUAUGAUUUUGAUAUAAUUGUGUAAUAUUAGUUAAGGGGUUUUAGUCCUAAUGUUGUGAUAGUGUUUUAUAUAAAUUGUUAUAUUGAGGAUAUGAAAUGAUGAUUCAAAUUGUGAGUAUGUGAUGAAUUGUAGAAGAAUAUGUUGCUUUGAGAUUAUAAUAUUGUUAUUGAGAUUGAGUAUAAAUGUAAAGUUGAACAUGUGUUAAUUUGUGAGAUACGUGUAAACAUGUGAUGGUGGAUUAUCACACUAUGAGAAGUGAAAUUGUGAAUGAGUUCUAGUUGUGGAUAAGUGUGUAGUUAACACUUGAUGUGAAAUUACUUGUGUUGUAAGCUAUGAAUUGUACAAUAACCCGACCAAUGUUAUCUUGAGAAAAGCGUUGAUGCGCAGUGUUAAAGAGAAAAUGUAGGUUUCCUAUUUAGGAGCUAGUGUUAAAAUCAUAGUGCGAUUGUGUUGAACUUGUUUAAAACACGAGUGUAAGGUCGUGGGUAUUGUAUAAUUCAUGAGCAGUGUCUGCAUGCAAAAAUUAUUUUAGGGGUUGGACCUGAAUCAGGAGGGAGAGGCCCUGACGGACUCUUCGGAGUGUAGGCCUUGGGGGUCACCGGGUUUGAGUGCUCCUUUAAGCCUAUGCUGAUCUCAUAUGGUUGGAGCAUUCUCGCAAAACAUCGUGACCCUGACUGGUCUCCCUAUGAUCUUACUUAGUGAGAGUGACCUGACAAACCCAUUGUGUGGUGUGUCUUGUUAUGUACUCCUAAGCGCCCCAGGGUGGUUUUUUAUUGACAUGGUACCACAUUGCAUAUAGGAUUGAGUCUUAGCAUAACUAUUGCAUAUGCUUGCUAAUUGAUGUGUUAUUAUAUCUUGAUCGAAGUGUGGGAUUCUUGUGUAAUGUGAUUGAUAAUUGAAAAGUGAAUUUUGAAUGAUGAAGUGGUGAAGUUACGUGAGCUAUGUUUAAGCAAGUGGUAUCUCAUUUAUAUAAUAUGUAUAUUUAAUUGUCUUGUUUCUCUAUUAGCUAGGAAUGUGAUAACUCACUCCCUGUGUGUUGUUGUGUUUGGAUCCUGUGAUGAUCUUGAACUUGUGUUCGGGGGAGCAGAUGAAUAGGUGGAUGACUAUGAAGAAUCUCAUGUUAGAGGACACGGGAACACCACGCUCUGAUAGGAUGUGACAUUAGGAUAUAGGUUCUAUAUUAAUUGUAUGAAACUUAUAUGAUUUUCUUUGAGUCGAGAUGACUUUAUUAUUUAUUUGGAUAAGUUUGAAUAUGAUGUAGAAGAAAGUGAAUGUGAGCCUUUUAUCCAUUUAAAAAGCUUGUAUUUAAAAAUGUUUUAAAAAUACUUUUAAUUAAUAUUUGAAUUUUUAUUCCUUUAUUAAUAUAUAUGUGAGGGGUAGAGGGUGUCACAGUGGCAAUGGUUCUCUUGCAACCGGUUCACCAUUAAAUCCAGCCUCAGGUGACUCCUCAAAUAGUCCAUCUGAAGCCUCAACUCCUCGCAAUUAAAAUGUGCUUCUUUUUGUGAAAAAUUGCCUCACAGAAUGAACAAAUUGAGCUCUUUUGAGAGCAGUGUUAAGUGAAACUAUUUGUUGUAUUUUUAUAUAUAAGCUCCUAUAGAAUAAGCUAGCUAGCUAGCUACUUUCUCAAGUCACAUAAUGAUGAAUUUCUUUACAUGUUAUCAUGGUUUACUAUUUAGUGAACCGCAUUUGUUUUCCUAUGAAAUAUAGAAGUCGUUUCAGUGUUCUGUAAUUUGUUUUUCGAAAAAAAAAAGUUCAUCUACGAUUAUUUUGUUUGGAUUGUCAAAUUAUGACAAAUAUUUGAAUGAGUAAAAAUAAUUUAUAAAUUAAAAAAUUAAAUUAAAUUAGCUAAGAAUUAUAUAUAUAUAUAUAUAUAUAUAUAUAUAUAUAUAUAUAUAUAUAAAUCUUUAAUUUAACUAUGAAUCAGCUAGGAAUUAACCAGUAAAUAAUUUUAAUACUAUAAAUAUAGAAUAAUUUUCAAUAUACAUUAGCUACAAAAUUAGUAUGAAAAUAACCUAGUUGCAUUAGGAACAAAAAAAAAUUGAAAAAUAUAUUACUACAAUUAACUAGAGAAAGGCUACAAAAUUUUUAAAAUUAGCUGCAAAUUUUAGGAUUAUUUUUCCUAGUUAAUUAGCUACUCAUUUCAGGUUACCACCCAUAUUGUAGUAAUUUUGUAGCUAAUUUGUAGUUAAUUCUUUUUACUAGAGAUAGCUAUAAAUUAGCUACUAAUUUUGUUGUAGUUAAUUUAAAAAAUUCUUGUAGUGUUUGACACAAUAGAAUAAUAUGGUUAUAUUGAUCACACAUUAUGAUAACUAAUGCUAUAGCUUACUAGGGGUUAGCGGUUAAGUGGAGGGCAACUUAUAUCAGUGACAAACUAAAUGUUUUAUGCAGAAAUUUUGGGUCAGGAGGGAAUAGUGCAUAACUAUAAUGAGGAAACAAUGCCACUCACAUCACACGUCUAUUUAUUGAUCAAGGUUGAAUGAGGAAACAAUGUCACUCACAUCACACAUCUAUUAACUGGGGCAGACUUGUGUAUAAUGCUUUCAUUGGGAAAUAAUUUUGUCUUUAACUUAAUGAUGUUUUCAGUUAAACUUGUAUGUGUGUAUCACUAACCAGGUGUUAAAAAUAUGUUUAUUUAAGCCUACAUAAUAACUAUUGCAUCACAUAUCUUCGAUACGAAUACUAUUUUUCACAUGGACAUACAAUAAUAGUGAUAAUCUGUCAUUGUAGGAGUAAUGUCAGAAAAAUGAAUUUAACCAAAAAGUUAUUAAGAGGUAAUUAUAUAAUAAUACAUAGUUACUUAUUUUGUAUUUGAUGUUAAACUAACAAACUUAUAGCAUGUAAUUAUAAACAUACAAAGAUUAAGUUUUAAAUGACAAAUAAUGCAGAUAAACCUAACUAAAAUUGUGACCAAAUGGUGACUUAAAAUGCAAAGAAUCAGAAUUCUACUUUUAUUGCUACAUGCCUACAGACUACAUGGUAUGAAACUCUUCAGUUUAAACUGACAAUUUCCAUUGAAAAUAGCCCUAUGUCAACAAUAUAUUUUUAAGGGAUCCCAUUUAAUCAUUUUCUUAGUAAAAUGUCCUAAUUUAUUUAAUCAUCCGUGAUAUCAUGAUUUUGGCCUACUAAACUUAUAUUUUCUACUAUCGGUGGCUACUCAUGUUAGCGCAGGUGGGACUGGACUACACAUUAAAUAAAUAAGUUUCACACAAAAAAGUCAAAUUAAUCCAGUAAACAUAAUAUUUUGUUUUAAAUAUAUUUAAUUUUCUUGAUUUUAUUUAUUCUUAGUUUGAAGAUAACUUUCAAAUUCCUUUUCUUAAUGGAUAGGGAGAACUAAACGUGAUGUGCACCAAAUUCAAUGAGAAAACUAACAUAUAGUAGUUUAAAAUUCAUAAUAAUUGCACCUAAUGUCUUAAAGUUAUUUAUGUAUUUCAGUGGUUCGUUAUUUAGAUUUUGGACCUUUCCUUCCCAUCAAUGAAAAAUGGUCCCCAACCCUAACCUUGUGUAUUAACACAAGUAUUAAGGACCACGUACACUUUGUACUUAGAUAGAAAUGUUACAUAUAUACUAAGAAAUAAGUACCCUCAUAUAUGGUGGUCACCAUGAAUGAUAAAGCAUAAAUUAUGCUAACAAAAAAUUUCUAAUUAGAAACAGGUUAAAAUUCCCAGACCCUGUUGGUUGUCAUUGAUGCAACAUUAUAUAAAUAUAAUAUUAUAUACAAGUAUACAUCGUUCUAUACCGAAUUUCAAUGACAAUGCUUAGAUGUUUACACCAAAGAUUUUUAAAUCGGAAUAACUACUUGGCUUAUUUAAUAAAAAUUUAGUUUGCCCAAUUAAUAAAAAAAUAAAGAAAUUAUCAGUUUGAACAGUUGACAAUUCAAAUUUGUUUUGGUAUCAAACAAUUUAAAAUUUGAUAACGUUCUAUCUACAAAACUUGCAAAUUAGAUGAAAGAGAAUUUAACUCAGUUAUGACCCUCAAGUAAGUUUAAUCAUUAACAUUUUGAAGACAAAUAGACUUGUGGGAGAGUUGUGAUUAUCAUUAUACUUUUUUUUAUCAUUUAUCUAUUUAUUUUUCUUUGUUUGGAGUCAUAGCGGAGAGUCUUUAUUUGACAGCCUUUAGGAAAGUCACAUUACUCUUAAUCUACUUUAGUUGUGGCGGGUAACUAUGGGUAGAAGAAUGAGUGUCUUGAAGUCUUAUAUCGUGAUGGAUAGCUGUGGAUAAAAAUUGAGUGUUGAAGUUUUAUUAUGAUUAGAGAUAGUAUGGAAAUAUAAUAUAUAAGUGAAGAGGAAAUCUCAUCUUAUAAUUUGAUUGUAUAGAAUUGAGAUUAAGUCAAACCCACAUUCAAACUGCAACAAUGAAUAAUAGAGAGAAAAAAAACAAAUGAAAACGUGAAAGACAUGGAUAAUCAAUAAUUUUAAUUGAUAAUUGAUUGUUACAAACAUUUUUACCAAUGAUGUUCAAUUUUUAUACAUGGUAGUCAGUUAUUCCAAGAAAACAAUUGAUUGUUUCAAAAGGAUAUUUAAUAUUUUGUUAAAAAAAAUCAAUUACCAAUGGUUUUUUUACAAAAAUAUCUACUUUUUAUAUCUCUUAAAACUAAACACUCUUAAAAUUUACUAUAUUUUCAUUUUUUAUUUACCUUAUUUAUUUUUCUUUUUUUAUUUUCAUUUUUUUUUAUUUCUAUCCUUCUUUCCAAACUCACUAUUUAGGCCGUAUGUAAUUAUGUAUUGAAUUUUUAUGGUUGAAGUUAUUUUUCAUCAAGAAAUUAUAUAUAUUAUGAAAUGAAAUUCAACAAAUUUUUAUGUGCAUGUUUGAGCUAAAGUUGAGAAAGUUCAAGAGUACUUGUACUCUUAAAGCAUCAAAUAUUUUCUUCUUAUAUUAUACAUUGUGUUGGUGUGAAAAAUCUGUUGAUCGAUUAGUCAUUGUGUCGACUGGUUAGUCGUCGUGUUUACUAACUACCAAUGAGUGAUUUCCUUUAAGUGAUUGACUUGAGGAAGGGGUUUUGUUCCUCAAUUGGGUUCCAUGUCCACUCCAAAGAUUUUUCUAGUAGCUAAUGAAGUGAAAUUUAUAUGCUAGGUUACUCCUAUAUGAAAUUGCGAUAAAGGAAAGUUGUAAACAGCUGAAAGCUAUUAAGAAAAAUUGUAAAGAAAACUGUAAAUGACCGAAAGGGUAAAGGAAAUAUGUAAUAGUUGAAAGUGGUAAAGGAAAGUUAUAAAGGAUCGGAAACGAUGAAAGGAAAGAUGUAAAUAAAGAAUAAAUAAAUAAAAGAUAAAUGACUGAAAAAAAAAGUAAUUUGAUUGAUUUGACCGUGGUUCCUCCUACAUUUGAGUUUGUCCUAUUUAUAUUGUUUUCUAAGCAAGACACACACCAACUAUUUCCUAAUAACUAUCCAUGAUCCUAGAUUUUAGGAGAUCAUAGAUUACAUGAUUUUAACUUCCUAAGUUGUUGACUUUUGUUGAAAUUGUGGCCCCACAUUCCCAAGAGCUAUUGCAAACAACUUCUCCUAUUUUUAAGGAAUCAUGGAUCCAUAUGUAUUUGACCUCGGAAAAAAUGAAAAAAUUGCUUGUAAUGGUCUUCCACGUUAAUGACAAACAUUAGUUGUUAUGUUAGCCAACAUAAAUGAGCCAUUAUUGGCCAAAAAUGAUUCUUCUAGCUGUUAGUCAUCAGAAAUUACUAUUUUAGUCUUUAAUCAUCUAUAGCACUAAGAUAAGUUAAAAUUCAUUGAUUCGCAUCAAUUAAUGGUCAUCUACUAAAUUAAAAGUUCACCGACUAUAAAUGACUAGUCUCGAUAGCAAACUUUUUUGGUGUUAAUACAUUGAAAAGCAUAAUUUUGCAUUGAAAUUUGCUAAAAUGAUUUUGUAACUUCAAAGCAAACAUAAAAUAUUGUAUAUCUUUCAUCCCAUCCACAAUUAUUUGAUUUCUAUCCAACGCUAAAUUUAAUUUAUAUUUUAAAAUAUUCAAUAAAAUAGUGUCUUUUUUUAGUAUUUUUUUUGUUCAAGAAGGUUUCUUGUUAUUUAGCAAAGCUACAUUUCAUAUACAUGUCAUAUUCAAUGCAAGUACAAGUCAAUUUUUUCAAUUAAGUAACAUUCUAUAAUUCUGUCUAUACUUUUUAAUUAUCAUGUUAUUCUACAAAGUAUCCUUUGAUUUUUGUUGAUGAAUAAUUGCUAAUGAAAAACCUAACUAGUCACUUUUGAUGAUAAUUUAAGUCCAUUAGUUUUACUAAGUUUAUAUCUAAUGGUUAGAAUUAUAAGCAACAUUGCACCUUAUUUCAAGGGUGAUAGUUAGAAAUACUGAUAAUCUUUGAAGUUUUCUUUUAACAUAAUAUAAGUUUAAAAUAUUUAUUGAUUUUGUUCAUGUAUAAUUAGUUUGAAAGACUUGACGGAUCUUUUUUGAUAAAAUUUCUCAUCUUAAACUACAAUUUAAAGUUUAAAAAAUUAGUAUGACUUUUCCUUUUAAAAAAUUAAUAUGACUUUUAAGAUAAUUAUUAUAAAAAUUAACUUGAUAUAUCAACCUGUGAUUGGAUAACAAUAUAAACAAAAUAUAUGUUUUCUUUACUUGAACAUUUAAUACAUUUAAUUUCAUUAAGUUAAAGUUUUUUUUUAAUAGAUUAUCGUUAUCUAUUAUGAGAGACUGAAUUGCUUAACCUGGAUAGAAUCUCUAUAAACUACAAAAGUCUUGCCUCUAUGUAUAUAAAAUAGGUGCGUAUACAAAUCUGGAACAUAAAACUACUAAAUAAAGGUCUAUUUGUAGUGGUUGUGAGUUUUUAAUUUUUGGUUACUUGUUUGACAAAAUGAAACUAAAAUGAUUUUUAAAUUAUUUUUGAAAUAAUUUUACAUUCAUUUUCAAAAUCAAGAAAAAAUAUUUUGGGAAUUUGGUUUUUAGUUUUAAAUAAACACACAUUUCCCAUAUUUCACAAUGAUAUUUUUUGCUACCACCACCAUCACCAUCAUCGUCAGUAUCGCUACCACCAACAAAAUUUUCACUGUCACUAUCAUCGUCAUCACCACCGGUAUUGUUAUUGUCAACACCAUGAGUGUCACGAUCAUCGUUAUUGUCACCACCACACCCUCGCAUUACCACCACUUGUUGCCACCACCAACACCACUAACACCAUCAUCGUCACUACUACCAUUAUCACCAUCAAUAUCACCACCACCAUUACCAUCAAUGUUAUCGUCAUCGUCAUUGUCACCACUAUCAACAAUACCACCUCCGUCACCGUCACCGCCACCACAAUCACCACCAACGUUUUCACAACUACUACCGCCAUCACAUCGCCCCCACUUGCUACCAUCAUCACCACCAUUGCCACCGUCAUCACUGUUGUCAUUGUCGUUACUAUUGUUGUCGUUGUUACCAUCACUAAUACCACCUUUGUUAUUACCAUCAUUGCUAACGUUGCCACCGCCACUUUCAUCACUUGUUGUCAACCCCAACACCACUAUUACCAACAUGUCGUCACUGCCACCACCGUUAGCAUUGUCACUACUACGGUGACCACCACUAGUAUGUCUAUCGUCAACAUUGUUGUUGGUAUCACAAUCAUUGUCAUUAUUAUCACACAAAAUACUCUUAAACUAAUUUAAUACGACAUGAAACUUUUAAAAUGAGUUUAUUUGGAACUAAUUAUAUUUUUAAAACUGGUUUAAAUUUUUUUGAAACUAAAACCAAAAACUUGUUGUUGUUUUUAAGAAAUUCAAAACUCAAAACUAAGAAUCGUUCCAAACAAGGAGGAGUGGUAACAAUUUGACAUCAGUUUAUCUAUAUAUUUGAUGAUUUACUAAGUCUUUUUUAGGUUACAUGGAUGACAACAAAGUUAGAAUUUAAAAGCUUGUGUAAAUUAUUCAAAUUUCUUGUCACUAGAUCAACCAUAGAUUUGUAGUUUACUAAGCUAAUGUUUAUCAAUGAAUAUUAUGAUAACAUAAUUAUAAAAUGGUUAUCCUAGAUAUUAGGGUGUUUGCGGUGCGGUUUGGUUCAAUUUUUAAGUAAAAAGUCAUCCAAACAAAACAUAAAAUAAAAAUGCAGUUUGAUUUGGUUCAGCUUAUGUAUAACAUUAAAUUCGAACCAAACCAAACCAAUCUUUUGUGAUUUUUUUUUGUGAUUUUUUAUUUUUUUAAUCUAUUAUUAUAAUUUAAAAUCUAUCAACUAAAUUACAUAAUUAUUAUGUUAUAUUGCUUUAAAAAUGGAUUUUAUUUUUUAUUAAAUUUUGUUUAACAUAUUUUAGUUAAGAUUAUUAUUUUUUACUUCUAUUUAACAUUAAUAUUAACUCUUUUUGUAACAUAGUAGUAAUUUGUUUAUCACUCGAUAUUUAACAUUAUUUUUUAACAAUACUAGUAUAUAUUUUUUAACAUAUGAAAAUAAAAAUGCAUCUUUUUUAUAAGACAAAAAAAUUAAUUAUUUAAUACUUAUUAAUAAUUGUCACAAUAAUAAUUAAUAUGAUUAUAAUAUGUGAUUUAUUAGAUUUGAUUUAGUUUUAUAUAAGAAGAUUUGAAAACUGAACUAAACCAAAAAAAAUAUACAAUUCUUUAGCUUUCUUGUUUUUGUGGUUUUUAGUUUAAAAGAUUUUUUAUUUAUUUUUAUCAAUUUAUCAGUUUGAUUUAAUUUUGAACACCCCUACCCCUUCUAGUUAUGUACAGCCCCCAUUGUACAUGUGAGUAAGUCUUGUUAACAAGUAUUUUAAUGUUUACUAGGACCAUUUGUUAUAUCUUUUCUUAAAAAAAUAUUGGAUGAAAAAUACAUUGUUUAGCACAUGAUUUAUUUUAUUUAAAUAUAUUCCCGCUUUUAAACCAUUGACGACUGAAAUACCAGUCAUCAUUUGUCCCGUUGUAAAUGCAUUUUGUCCCUGUUGAAGGCAAGUUCGCUGGAUAUUGCAUGCCAAGAGUUGUGAUUCACAAGAAUUCACAACCCUUGGUUUCAUUAAUUUUUAAUUUGGAGGUACAUGCAGCCCCUUGAUUUGCUGCCCUUGGUUUUGAUUUUAAAAAGUUGUAUUUUUGCUUAUUAUUAUUUAGUAAAUCCAACGACUACCAAAUCUAAAUGCAGGGGGAAAAAUAGAUAUACAAAAAAUAAGCCAUGCUUUACACGCAGAACGCACGGAUCAACCAUUCUUGUUUGCUAAGGUAUCGAAUAUCAAUAUAAUGGAAUCCCCUAUUUUAUAAGCACUCUCUUUGUCAUUUCCUUUAAUGGUACUGUCCAAAAUACAUUAACAAUAGCUUCAGUUAAUUACCUACGAAGAUACAUACAAAUAAUCGACAAGGACCACUUGAUAGAUAUAUGCUCUCCAAAUGUGUUGAUUAGGAUUUGACUUUUUUUAUUUAUUUCGAGUAUAAGUUUUUUUACUGAAAAAGAUAAAACCUACUUACUCAUUUAUCAAAGGAAUUAGUCUAGGGUUAGUAAUUGAAAGAUAAUUUUAGUAUCAUAAAAAAAUGCAAACAUAGUCAAUAGGGAAAUUGAAUGCGAUGUAAUGCUUAAACAAAAAGUUUAAUUUGGAGAGAUAUAAAAAAAAAUUCCAUACUUAAUAAAGGAAAAAUAUAGGGCAAGAGAGCUUUUUUAUGUGAAAGUGAGACAAAUAUAUUUACCAUUAAAUUUUGUCAUAAAUAGUCAAUAAUAAAACAUACAAGUCAUCUGAAUUUUUUUAAAAAAUACAUGAUUUUUUAGUUUUUAAGUGCUUAUUAUAUGAUAUAAAUUUAACUUUCUCAUUCUCCGUAUGAAAAUAAAACUCUCAUUAGGUACACCUUUACUAAUAAAAAUGUAAAAUUCUAUUUGAGAAAGUGAUCAUUACAUUUUAUUAAUAGACAAAAAGUACCUUUGCUAUAAAAGAAAAAGCUUAUGAAGCAUUAUUACUUGUUACCUAGUAAUUUUUUUUACUCACAAAACUUUAUUGUUAUUGUAAAUUAAAGUAUAAAAGAAUUAUAAACUGCAUAGUUUUAUUAAAAAUAUAUUUUAAAUCACUAUUGCAUUUUUUUUUUGUAAUCUUUUUUCCCCAAUUAAGUAGUUAACAUCUAUAAAUGUAGAUUUUAAUUAGAUGCACAAAGCUUAGAAGACAUUUGUGAAUGUUGUUCUAUAUUAUUAAAUGAUUACUUAAACUUAAGAUCACUAGCUGAAAUAAUUUUAUAUUUUUUUUAUUUUUUUAUUUAUAAAAAUUAGUGAACAACCUUAGACUUGCAAAAACAUCUCAACUAUGUUGUAUCCUUUUGCAAGCCAAGAGCAACACAGCUAAUAUCAUUAAAAAAAGGAGAAUAAACAAAACAUCUAAAAUGAGGGGGCCAAACCAAAACCAAUUGACAAAAUAAAGUGAAUCUAUAAGCAAGAAGAGAUACUCUAUUACAAAUGUACUUGCUUCUAACAAAAGCCGAAGUAGUAUCCCACCAACAAAAAUUAGAUUUAUCUAUGACUCCAAUAGCCAAAAUGUCGACACAUGUGUUAUCUUCUCUAUAUAUGUGUGAAAAAAGCAAAAUGGAAUCUUUACAAGCAUAUAAACAGUCCUCCAAUCUUUUAGGAAUACUCCAAGGAACAAUGGAAGGAUUCUUAGUAGCCCCAACCACCAACUGCGAGUCGCAUUCAAUCUAAACUUUUUUCCAAUUUCUUUAAAGAGAAGCUUCAAGAGCCAAAAUGACAAUAAAACGUUCAACAAAUCGGAAAUUUUGAACCCCCAACAUAGGUAGCAAAACAACCCGAGACAGUACCACAAUGUUCUCUAAAAAUACCUCACAACUAGCAUGGCCAGGAGCAACCUUAUAACUCCGAAAAUUCCCCCACAAUAUGUAUUGCUAACUUAAUUUGUUUUCUAAUUUUAAAGCUUGAUCUUGUGUUAUAUAUUUAUUAUGUGAGGAGAUAUCAAAUUACACCAGCGUAAUUUUGAUAAUUAUUACAACAUUUUAUAACUUUUGUUUAUAUAAUAAAAAACUUCGUACCCCAUUGCCCAGAGACUCUUCGCUAUGCUAAUAUUUUCUUAAAAUUUAUUGUUGGAUUGAAAGUUCUUUUCACAUAUAUCCACAUACGUAAAAUUUUAUAUUAAUUUGAAAUCAUUUGUUAUCUCGUUCAUAUAAGUUAAAAUCGACUUAAUAUAAAUAUCUCAAAAUAUAUUAAAAUAUGAAUAAUUUGAUUAUCUUCUUGUUAUUGUUCAAUUUUGAUAAAAUUUAACACAAACAAUCUAAAAUCUAGAUAAUAUGUAGAUAUAAAUCAAUGAUUGAAUUAAUAAAAAAACACAUUCUAUAUCAACUUAUAAAAAUAAUAUAAUAAUUAUCAAGGUUAGAGUGAUGCAAUUUGAUUGUUCCUCUUAAUAAGUUCUUUUAAGUUUGAUAAAGCAUGGUAUGAUUUAAAAACUUAAAAAUCAAGUUUAUAGUAAAAUCUUUGAAAUAAAAACAUUAAUUUCUAAAAAAAUUAAUAAACUUAAAUUUAUAAUUAUAUAUCAAUGAAAUUAACAAGUAUAUAGUCUUUCUGAAAAAAAAAACAACAAGUACAUAGUCUUACAAUAUUAUAAUAAAAUUAAUAUGAUAAUAAUAAUAUAAAAUGGCCAAAAUUUUAAAAGAUUUUAAAAAUAAUACUUAAAUAAAAUAUUUUUAAACGAAGACGUUUAUGGAGCGCUCUAGUCUAAACCCUUUAAGGUAUUUUGACUUCCAUAAUCAUUUCUAGUUUUCCAUCUUUGAAGAAUGGGUAAUGGAGAAAAUCAAAGUAUAAAGCGAAGACGUUUAUGCGUGAGUAAUUAUUUUCUACAUUUGACAAUGAACGACCACUAAUCAAAAUAAAAAUCAAAGUCAAUAGAGGGGUAGAACAUACUUUCCAAUAAUCUUUAUUGUUAAACAAAUUUUGGUUACUUUUAUUAAUGAAAACAAGUUUUUCAGAUAUUGUUGGAACAAUAGUUUAUGAUAAACCGAAAAAAUUACUGGCUGAGUCGUGGACAAUGUCAUUUUCUUUAAGACGUUUCGUGGUACUGUCAAAAAUUGUGCAAGCAACCUAUCAAUCACGAAGUCCACAGGAUAAAACAGCUCAGAUCACUGUAUAAGAUUCCCAUUGCACUAAGGGAACCUUUUCUAGCAUUACACCCUCUUGUAUGACUUGAAAAGUCACUCUAAAGCUACCUAAAAAUAUGACUUGAAAAGUCACUCCAACAGUCAACCGAAAAUAUGACUUGAAAAGUCUCUCUAAUAGUCAACCGAAAAGUAUGACUUGAAAAGUCACUAUUAUAGCCAACCAAAAAUAUUACUUAAAAACUCACUCUUAUAGCCAACCGAAAUUAUGACUUAAAAAGUCGCUCUUAUAACCAACCGAAAAUAUGACUUAAAAAGUCACUCUUAUAGCCAACCGAAAUUAUGACUUAAAAAGUCACUCUUAUAGUCAACCGAAAUUUUUUAGAGCAACAGAAAGAAAGAGAGAGAAGUUUGCCGGAGAUGCAUCGGCUGAAAUAUGAGUGGAACUUGAAGUCUUUUUUUUUUCAAACUUUCAUCCACAUUCUCCUUUGUUCUAACAGAUAUUUAACGAAUGUAUAGUAAAAUUUUGCUUACAAAUUUUUUUAUUAACAUUCUUAUAAUAAUAAUAAUAAUAAUGAAUUAAUUAAUUAGAAAAUUAAUUAUUAAGAUUGUAAUUAAUUUUUUUGAGUAGAAAGAUUGCAAUUAAUUAUAAAUAUUUUUUAGUUUUAAAAAAAUGAACAUUAUUGAUUUUAAUAUUUUUAUCUCUUAAAAUAUGAAAAUAUUUUUCCUAAUGUCACAUGCUUGUGUAAUUAACACAAAUUUAACCGACCAGUUCAAAACAUACCUACUAGUGUCCACAGUAUCAUUUUAGCCCUUGGCAUUUCUAAAUUUUUUUCUAGAUCCCUAAAAUGAAUAUUAUUUAUCGACUUAAAAAUGAAUGCUAAAGAAAAAAAUAAUUAUUUUAGAUUUGACAGAGAUAAGAUUAAAGAAAAAUAUUUUACCAAAAUUAAAAUUCACUUAAUUUAUAAGGACAGAAUAAUAAUUUCAAAUUUUAGAAAACAAUGAAAAACAUUUUUUCGAAGACUAAAUUAAAAAAAUCACUCAUUCGAUUUUAAACAUUGUCUUUUAUAUAAUAAUUUAUAAUUGUUAAUUUUAUAAUCAACCACCGUGAAAGCACUUUAUUUUUUAAAAUCAAAUUCCUUAAAUAUCUUUCUAAAUUCUAACCCAAUUAAUUUCAUAAAAACGAAUCCAACUCAAUUAAUAUAGCUUUGCUUUCCCUUUAACCAUCUCCAUCUCCCAACGCCACACAUAAAUCACUCUGCAAAGAAUGGAAAUUGAGAAGCAAUUUAGCGAUUACUAGAAUUUUAUUUCAAUUUUCACUGUCUCUAUCCCUUUUCAGCUCAUUAGUAUUGCCCAAUGGGCAAUGGCAAUGAAAUUUGGAAGACUGAACACUAAGGAAAUUAAGUGUAUAUUUGAAUAAUCUCUAAAAUUAUCAUAAAUCAUGGUGAUGAGGUGAAUUUAUCUUAGUUUUGAUCAAAUUUUAAAUAUUUAAAUUAUUUUCAAAAUUAUGGUAAGAUGAAUUAGAAAAAAUCAUGAUAAAAUUAAAACAAAACUUCUAUUUAUAUAAUAAUCAAUUAUAAAAAUUAAUUUUGCCACAUCCGAUCCAAACAUACGCUUAAAGAUUCACGGCAACGCGGGAGUUCCGUCCAUUGUCCAAAUGCUCACGCGGCGCAAACUACUGAAACUAGCGGCUAAAACCUUUAUAUUUUUUAUUUUUCAUUGUUUUUGUUCCUUUUUAUUAAUUUCUAUAUUUUUCAUUAUUUUUUUUGGUGGCCUUAUAAUUUUCAUUAGGCUAAAAUAGGAUGUUCUUCUCUUAUCUAUAUUUUAAGAUUUAUUUUGAUUUCUUUAAUUUACAAAGUUUUAUUUUUGUCUCUUAGUCUUUAUUAGAUAAAGUUAAUAAUUUCGUUCAAUUAUUGAUACUAAUCGUGUAGAUUUUAUUGGACGCGUUAUCUCUCAACUUAUCACAUAUUACUAAACUGACUAAAUUAUUAAUGUUAUAAACUACUGGAGGAGCCAAUUAGAUUUGACAAUUUUUUAUAAAAAAAUUUAAAAAAGAUUAAAACCUAAAUUGUAGACAGGAUUUAAGAGAAUAAAAUUGUAUUUUAGUAUUUUUAUUAUAUUUGGUUUAAUUACUGUAUAAAUUUUACCUUUUAAUUCAAAGGAAUUCUAAUGAUAGGUAAAAAAUAAAAAAAAUAUUGUAAAACUAAAAUGAAUAAUUUUUUUUAGUCCCUCUCGUAUAGUGGCCGUUGUAAACAACGAACCUCGUGGCUCGCAUGUCGCUAUAAAACGAGCACCUCUCAUUCGAGUUCCGUUUAAAGUAACUGAAAACGUUCCAAAUUUCACUGCCAGCGAGGCAGAGAGAGAAACUAGAGAGAGAGAGAGAGCGAACACACCGUUCAUUUCUCCUUCGUCGUCGUCGUCGUUUCGCCGUCGCAUUUUCCGGCGAGGUUUCUCUGUUUUGUUUAACCGAAAUGGAGGAUCCGUACGUUCUCGGUUGGAUUCUGUGCUCCGUCCUGAGCCUCUUGGCGCUCUACAGCCUGGCCUUCGGCGGAGCGGGCCGUCGCCGCGCUUCGCCGGAGAAGAGGAACGAGUUAUCGGAGACCGUGACGACCUCCGCCGGAGAAUGCAGAUCGGAGAAACGAAACGGCGACGCUGACGUCAUCAUUGUCGGAGCCGGCGUCGCCGGCGCCGCCCUGGCGCACACUCUCGGAAAGGUAGUUAGAUUUAAAACGCGCGUUUCGUUGUUGUUAAUCCGUUUUCUUCUUGCAUGUGAUUAUUAUUAUUAUUAUUGAUGAUGAAUCACGAACAUCAGAACGUGCCUCUAUUUUUAUCUGUUUUGAGAUUCUCAUAUAUAAUACUCGCCGUUACUUAUUAGAGAAAUUAUUUGUUUUUUGCGUUUUAGGAAAACUUGUUUAUUAUUGACGAUGAAUGAAGAACAUCGGAACAUGCCUCUGUUUUUCUCUGUUUUAAAAUUCUCAUGUAUGGGACUUGCUGUUAUUUAUUAGAGAAAUUAUUUUUAAUUGCUUUUUUUUUUCUUCUUCUUGUUUUUGCGUUUUUUUUGAAAUUUUUAACUUAUUUGGGAGAAAGUUAUAAAAAGAACUGUUUCGCCAAUGGAAGUUAUCUCGUAAAGUAUCGUCUAUCUCUAUCUGCGUUGAAAAGUAAAUGACAACGUUGCAGUUUGGUGGACGGGUCACGUGCUUGUCUCGUGGUUUUGUAAUUUAACAUCUACGGAAAUUUCGCAUUGAGUUUUUCUCUUGUAAUCAGCUGAAGAUAUAAUAUGUUCUAAUUUAGAAAUUAGAACGAAUAAGAUGUUAAGUGCUCUUUUAAUUUAAUUUGUUUCAAAUAAUAUAUGAAAGAACGCAAAGUCAAAAUUGAAUGUGAAAUUUUAUUUGUUUCCAUGGGUAUGAAUAUGAUGAUAGGUAUUUGCAUAAGUUAGAAACUAGUAGUAGUUUUUCAUAAAAUAUAAAGGUUAAAUUAAUUUUUUUUCUAAUUUAUUAUUUUGUUUCAAUUUAAUCUUUUAAUUUUUUUAUAUUCAAUUUCAUCUUGGUCAUCAUUCCAUCAAGAUUGUUAAUGAUAGAAUCUAGUGACAAACAAUGUGUCCUUCUCUUAAGUGGACACAUGAAGACAAAAAGAGAAUGAACGGCGAGCAUCAAAUUAAACAUGAAAAAAAGUAGAGGAAUAAAUUAAACCAAAAUAAUAAAUCACGGGCAUAAAACACUAAUUUAACCUAAUAUAUAUUAGCUUUAGGGACUGUUUACUCGUUUCUGCGUUUCAAAAUCUAGCGGGAUUGUAAUUUUUGGAUGUGGCUUCUCUGAAGUGAGAAGAGUUACGUAGGUAAUUUUAGGUAUUAACGAAAAAUUCAACUAGUUAUUAUCGUCCUUAUUUUUAGUUCUGCUGUCUGCGAAGACCCCACCUAUGAGAAUCGAAUUUGAGUUUGAGUUAUUCGGCACUAACUGUUAUAUUGUUGAGUUGUGUUGUGUCGUUGAUUAGCGAGAUUCAGGACAUACAUAUUUUUUUGGAGUUUUUAACUCUUAAGGAUUGUGUGGUAGGUAGGUUGAGUACUGUUUUUCGAUAUUUACGAGUGUUGACUGCAUAAAUAUUUUGUAUUACAGGAUGGGCGUCGAGUACACGUCAUUGAAAGAGACCUGAGUGAGCCUGAUCGAAUUGUUGGAGAGUUGCUACAACCCGGUGGCUAUCUCAAAUUAAUUGAGCUCGGACUUGAAGGUAGUGUAAAUAUUAACUAUUGCAUGCCGCUUAUUGUACUUGUAAAUUGUGGUUGAUCAUGGGUGCUGGAGAAUUAUAUCUACAAUUUUGUCUGAACAUCUGUGCCAAAUGAUAUCCGUCUUGUGUUUAACUGCAGAUUGUGUGGACAAAAUUGAUGCUCAGCAAGUGUUUGGUUAUGCACUUUUCAAGGAUGGGAAACAUACUCGUCUCUCUUACCCCUUGGAGAAGUUUCACUCAGAUGUCUCUGGCAGAAGCUUUCAUAAUGGGCGCUUUAUUCAGAGGAUGCGGGAGAAAGCCGCCUCCAUUCCCAAGUAUUGAUUUCUUCCUUUGCGGCUUUAUACUUUAUAGAAUAUGCUUACUAGUUCUUGUAGUUGUUUGUCAUAUAUAAAAAAACAGAUAAGAGAUUAGAGAUUGCUUGUUACAGAGUUACAACUAGUUACAACUACCUUUAGGAUUCUAUUUUUGUAAUAAAUGUAAAAUUUGACCUCAGUUUAUGUGUUUAACCUUGAUGCCAUUUUAGUUGAUUUGGUUUGAUAUUCUAGUCAUGUUACAUGAACCAAAGUAAUUUGAUUGAAAGUUGUUCUGCCAUUAGCUUCUGUUUCCUAAUAGUAUUUGAUCAUAUCAUCAUACGGGCAGCCAAUUGAUAUAAUUAUCAUAAUGCUAUCAGAAUUCAGAAUAAGAACCAGAAUGCCAACAGUAGUAGUGAUGAUAUGAGAAUUACAAAUGUGAUUUUAGUUGUUCAAUUGAGCUAGAGAUAUUUACUUGUAAAGUCAUAUUUACAUGGUGUUUUUUCUUUUUAAAUAUUCUGCAGUGUACGAUUGGAGCAAGGAACAGUCACUUCCCUAAUUGAAGAGAAGGGGACAAUUAAAGGUGUGCAAUAUAAGACCAAAGAUGGUCAGGAAUUGGCAACAUAUGCACCUCUUACCAUUGUUUGUGAUGGCUGCUUCUCAAACUUACGCCGUUCUCUUUGUAAUCCUAAGGUGAGAAUUCCUUUCAGCUUAAUUCUGUGAUAGAGUUUCCACGAAUCACGAUCAAAUCAGUCAACUUUUUCCUAUAAACUAACCAGCAAUCACACUAGAAAAAACUUUUUGCUAUAAUUUAUUCGGAGUUUUUUUUUCGUUUUACAUUAUUCAAACUUUUUUUUUUCUACUAAAGGUUUUCUUCGUGUUUGUAAGAAUAAAUAUGUAGAACUUGAAUUACUAAUUUUUUAUAAUGCUGUGUUUGCAGGUGGAUAUUCCCUCAUGCUUUGUUGGUUUAGUUUUAGAGAACUGUGAACUUCCAUGUGCAAAUCAUGGCCACGUCAUACUGGGAGACCCUUCGCCAAUCUUAUUCUACCCUAUAAGCAGUACAGAGAUUCGCUGUCUGGUCGAUGUACCUGGACAGAAGGUUCCUUCUAUUUCAAACGGUGAAAUGGGAAAGUACUUGAAGACAACGGUGGCUCCACAGGUACCCCAUUUUAUGCUCUAAGUUCUAGAAAUUGUUUUUUUAACUCUGGCAUGUGAUAAACCUUUCAUUCAGUGUAGAAUCUUGUUCACAUUCACAUUAUUGGUCUGUUAGAUUGUGACAAAGUGUCAAUUGCAGAUUCCCCCCCAGCUUUAUGAUGCCUUCAUUGCUGCUGUUGACAAAGGCAACAUAAGGACAAUGCCAAACAGAAGCAUGCCGGCAGAUCCUCAUCCUACACCUGGAGCCCUUUUGAUGGGAGAUGCAUUCAACAUGCGGCAUCCACUAACCGGGGGCGGAAUGACGGUUGCAUUGUCUGAUAUUGUGGUGCUGAGAAAUCUUCUAAGGCCCUUGUCUGACCUGAAUGAUGCACCCACACUCUGCAAAUACCUUGAAUCCUUUUAUACCUUGCGUAAGGUAAUGUUUAGCUUUUCGCAUUUUCCUUUAUCUAACUUGAUGGAGCAGAACUUCAAUGAACUCAUUAAAGCUUGUGAAGCUAAUGUUAAUCUUUUAAUUUGUAGCCUGUAGCAUCCACCAUAAAUACAUUGGCAGGUGCUCUUUACAAAGUUUUUUGUGCAUCCCCUGAUCAGGCAAGGAAGGAAAUGCGGCAAGCUUGUUUUGAUUAUCUCAGCCUUGGAGGCCUAUUCUCGGAAGGACCAGUCUCUUUACUCUCUGGAUUAAAUCCUCGUCCCUUGAGCUUGGUUCUCCAUUUCUUUGCUGUUGCAAUAUACGGUGUUGGCCGUUUAUUGUUACCAUUUCCUUCACCUAAGAGAGUAUGGAUUGGAGCCCGGCUAAUCUCUGUAAGUAUUAUUCCAUUAUUUUUAGUUCAGUUUUUGUGUCUGAAUAAAUAGCAGGGAAGCUAACUCCGUAAAACAAAAAUUUUCUUGUGUUAGGGUGCAUCUGCAAUCAUCCUCCCCAUAAUUAAGGCUGAAGGGAUUCGUCAGAUGUUUUUCCCUGCCACUGUUCCAGCUUAUUACAGAACACCUCCAGUUGCACAAUAGUGAGUAUAUGUGAAAUUAGUGAAUAUAUUUUGAAAAAUUUAAGGUGCUGUCGAUAACAUAUGGUAGCUUAUCCUGCUUUUUGUCAGAAUUGAGGGAAGGUUCAGUUCGUAGUUCUGUAAGCAUUUUGGCUUCUUUAUUGUGUAUUCUUUGUAGUCUGUAACUCAAUGUUAUAAGUGAAUGUAUGAUCUCUCUUUCCUUUUUGGUACACCAGAAAUUAAAUCCAUGAUCUUAAACUAAAUCACCAUCCACACUGGCCACUUAAACAACUAAGUAUGGCAUUUAAGCAAAUGAGUUUUGUGCAUAUUCGAUUUCGUAAAUAAUUUAUGCAUCAGAACAUGUUUGUAAACACAACUCAUAAAAAUUCAACUUGUAUAAACAUAAAUAAAUAGUAUAAAAUAAAGUCAGUAUUGAAAUUAUUAUAGUAUUAACUUGAAUUGAUUUGUUAUGUUUAUUGGUACCGUAUUCAGCUUGUAAUCAAGACACUGUUCAUCUAUGAAUUACUCUAAUUCUUCUGUUGGCUUGAUCUAGACUUGAUAUUUAGGUGAGUUGUGGUUUGGUCUAGGUCUAGCUACAGACGAAAAAUACGUCUUGCAAUUUCAAGAGGGAGAAGGACAUAAAAAUUUAAAGUGAUAAUCGUUAGUUUUAAAUUUUGAAAACUUUAAAAUUUAAAACUAAUUUUCGGUUUUAUGAUUUUAGUUUCAAUUUGUUGUAGCUUUAUAUUUUUAAUAAAAAAUGAAGUAAAAAAGUAUACGGAUUACUCAAAACCACACAACAUUUGAGUUUAUUUGAUGGUGAUGUUGGUUGAUGAGUAAUAACAAGCAACAAUAAUGGUUAUGGUAGUAGUAAGCAAUAAGUGAUGAAGACGGUGAAUGGAAUGACAAUUGCUAGUAAGACAGAAUGGUGGGUGCGACGUCAACAAUGAUGCAACUACACUUACAAAGUUACACAACUUACAACUAUGACUGCUAGUUGGUGACUGUGAUAUGUUGAUAGGAGAGUUAGUGGCGGAGGUAAUCUAGGAAUAUUUUUUGGAGAGGAUGGAAAUAUUGAAAAACUUAAUUUUGCAAAUAAAAACUUAAAGCCAAAAUUAUAUUUUUCGUUUUAAAAAUUGAUCUAAAAAUAUUUUGAAAUUUAGUUAAACAAUUUAACUCCAUUAUAGCUAAAUUCAUCUUAUUUUAAAUUUUCCAUUUUAAAAGUAAAACUAAACUUGCAAUCAUACCAAAAAUAAAUUUAGGCUUUUAUUUUAUUAUUUUCCUUUUAAAAUUUUAAUAUUUUUUAUUUGUUUCGUUAAUGACGUGAAACUCAUCCAUUUAUUCUUAAAAUAAGAUGAUAAUUUAUUGUAUUUAAACUCUAUUAGUUAUAUACUAAAGAUAUCUAAUUCAAUUGAUUAAGAAAGAUAUAUGAAUUAUUGUAAAUUUUCUAUUGUGAUAACCUUUGAUUUUUACAAAUGAAAAAAUAACUGACUCAUAUGAAUAAGAAAAACUAUGUAUGUCAAAUAAAAAAUGUUUGAAUGCAUUUUGGACCCGUCUUCUUUCUCAUAUAUUCCCUUUAUUAGUCUAACAUUUAAUGUGUUUAUUUUUAGGCGCUCUAAAAUCUAAAUGUUAUGAACAUUCUAUUUGAUCUCCUAUUUUUUAGAGCUACUUAAGUACUCAACAAACUCUCUGCAUAUAUCUAUUCUUCCCAAACCCCACUCAAUAGACUCAUAUUUGGUUGUUCUUUUUUCUUAACCGGUGUCAUAAGAACCGCAGCCGAAUUCGGGGUAAUUGAUGAUUCCAUAUUUGAUUUUCUAUUAAAUGCAACCUAUUUGCAGUCAUACGAUGAUCUAUGAAUGUAUUAUGAGAUAUAUCAUUUAAAGAAAAAAAACUAACCAGACACAACUUUUUGGGCUCGUCAUCUGAUAUAUCAUUUAAAGUAAAAAAAAAAACAUUAUAUGGAACUCUUGAAACUCUUACCAAGUAAGAUAAAAAAAUAUGUACUGUGCCUAGGUUAAACUACAGCCGCUCAAGAGUAUUUUAUCGGAACUAAUGAGAGUGAGGCUACCAAAGGAACAACCAAGUUAAUCUCAAUAAUGUUUAACCCACUUUUGUGAAUAGAGGUAUACCUAAGGGUGGCCAUGGCCCCCCAAAAUUUUAUAUAUAUUUGGCCACCUCAACCAAAAUCAUCUAGUUCCGCCACUGUUUGUGAACUUCUCGUUGUAUGCAACAUUUCUCAUAAUUUAUACUUUUAUUCAUUAAAAAGGUUUUAUUUUAAAGUUUUUUGUAAACUUCUCGUUGUAUGCAACAUUUCUCGGAGAAAAAAAUACCAGAAGAAACAUACACGUUCUUUUUAACCCAUCAUAAAUUUAUUUGGACCCUACUAACAUCAAUCCUUGUAUUAAGGAAUCUAAGAAGACCACUUAAUUGAAUAGGAUAGCACUUUCAGAUGGUAGGAAAACACCAGUAGUAGGAGGUAGGUCGUCUCAUUAUUAAUGACUUCAAAAACAAACAUAAGAUGAUAAUGAUUUGGUCACGUUCAAAAUUAGGGCUACAACUUGUGUGAAUAGGUUGGAAAAAGAUUACAGUUCCCUGGCGGGCGUGGAAGAGUUUAUUUACAACUUAUUUGAACUUAUCCAAUGAUAUUGACACUUAUUUGCAAUGCUUAUUAAUUAAAUAUGUAUUUCUUCAAUCAAUUUCCCGGAAAAGAAAUUCAACGCAUCCAAGGAUAACAGCUUUAUAAUACAACACAUCAACAUCAUUAUUAAUUUAUGAUGUGAUAAUUUUUAAAAAAAAAAUAUAUGAUAUGAUGUGAUAAUUACCCAAAAUUUACUAGCAGCAAAAUCAUAUUUUAGCUGGAUGAUAAUACUAUUUUAUGAAGUUAAGGAGGACCUUUGAUGAUGAUUUUGAAUACCUCACCUUUAAGGUUCCAGGAUUGUUAGGCAGAGGUGGCCAAUUACAGAUUCUGGUUUUUUCUUUCCUGUUGUAUGGCCUCAUAUGAACAAAUUACUUCUUUGAACUUGGCCUCAGCAGCCUCUGUCACAUUUUCACAUUCAAGAAUCAAAUAAUCAAUAAUGUCAUGGUUUGAGAUAACAAGAUCUUAAUAGUAGCUUGCAAUGGUCUACCUCUAUUAUCCUGGUUCUGGUCAGGAUGAUACUGCUUUGCCUUGGUCCUAAAUGCUGUCUAUGAAAGAGAUAAGAUAAAAAAAUUAUAAAACGAAACUAAGACGUGGUAAAGCAAUAUAUAUAACAAAAUAAGCAAUUUACACAUAAGAUGUCCAAAAUCAAGGUAAAAAAGUAUGGACACUAAGUACAUCCUUGCAGAAAACCUAUUGUUAUAGAAAAUCUUAUACUUGAGUUUAUAGAUUAAUUGUUCCCCCAUUAUACAUAUCAUUUAUAGUUUGAAGUGCGAUGCAAACUCAUUUAUUCAACGGAGCUUUCCAAAGGAAUUUUGGCAACUUAUUAAAGGGUUUUGCUAGAUCAAUCACCAUCAUAUGUGAAUUAAGAUAGAUCACAGUCUCUAAAAUCAAAAUACUUGAUAAAAUGUAAAUAAAAAUUAUGCAGUUUUAUGGUUUUACUUGAGCAUAAACCAUAAUGACAUUAUUUUUCACAUUAAUGCACUAAUUUCCAACAAAAGGAUUACGGAACUAGUUGUUUUAAUAAAUAAGAAUGGUGCUAAACCCACCAGUCCGCCACCCAUCAAAUAAUAUCAACCAAAGUGUCAAUCAUAGCCAUUUCUUACAUAUCACAGAGGCAAAUAGAAAAAAAUAGAUAAAGGACUAUCACCAUAGUUCAUAUUCAUAAAUCACUCUGUUCAUCAAUACAGAUGUGAUGCAUAUAGUUUACAAAGCAUACAGUAAUAUGCAAGGAGAUAAUAAUGAUAAAACGAAAAGUUACCUUAAUCUCCGCUUCUGUAUAUGGUGUUGUUCUAAACCUGAGAUCCAUAUAAAAGGAACCUUUAAUGGCUAAUCAUGAAUGCAAAACAGGUACACUAUUGCUAGCUUAUUAUGUAGAUGGUACAUGAUUUAUGCAUGGUUUUUCAUUCACAAAUAAUGGUCUGUCAGCUAUCAACGGAUACCAAAAUCACACAGCCUUUUUUAUUGGGUUGUAAUCACAUACUGCUCUAUAUGAGAUGUCAUUACUGACCCUCCUGAUGUGUCAUAUAAUAUCUUCAAAUAUUCUUGUUAUAGACAUUUUCUUCCUCUCAACAUGAUUCUCAUAUUUGAACAAUAUGAACUGUGCAUGCGCUAUCUUGUGUUCUCUCAUGUCAUAUAAGUAAGCACAGUAUUUUUCUUUCAAAUCGCACCUUACCCAAUCCUGUAUCUGAUAUUACAAAGGCAAAGUUUCAAUGCCCAUCACAAUAUGCUCACCUAUCACUAUAUGCCGUAGGUGAAUGUAAUAGAAAAAUGAAAAAGAUUUUACUUUAAGAAUUAUGUGAUUAAAAUGUAGCAUAUUAAAUAAAGAAUUUACUUUUGAAUUUUUUGAUAAACUACAAGCAAACAAGUGCCAGAUCAUUGUAGCAACUAUGGUCUCAAAUGUAUCAAAGCUUUUACUUAUAAUUUUCAAACAAGUGCAACAGCAUGGGCUGUUGAUUUUUUUAAAUAAGAUCAAAAUCAAUUAUUACAGCAUUCUGUUAGUUAAGCCAAUAUCUUGAUUUUCUUUCUUCUAUAAAGACAGAAAGAGAAAGAGGAUUGGGUGACAAAUAACAGGCCAAAAAUGUAGUUAGUUAAAAUCUAGGGAGGGAAAGACAAGUUGAAUGUCGAGGAUGCUUAGCUGGAAGAAAGAAAGUAGGGAAUCCUAACAGAAAGGGUGCCAUGUGAUAAAUGGGAUCAUGGCAGUAAGGAGUCUGAGGACAUUGUAGAGGUGGUUUUGGCCACUCAUAAGGCUGGGAGUUGGCUGUUCCUAAGACUGGGAUUCUCUUGGUUUUACUAUGAUAUUUUAUUUGUUGCUGUUUUUUUUUUUAAUCUCCAAGAAUUUCAGAAUACCUACUGAUUGUAGGGAGUUUGGCUCUAUUUCCUAUUCAAUCGCUCCAGUACUUAUCACAUUCUAAUAUAUCUACUGCUAAUACAAGGCACUGAAUAACAUAAUACACAAUAUUUCCAUAAGUACCUGUCAAGACCUAAAACUGAGUAGUGAUGUGAUAACGAAUAGUUUCCGCUCCCUCUUUGAGUAUGUUGAUUGGCCCACUGCUCUCUGAAGGAUGCUUCAGCCUUCCAAUACCAAUCAUCUCUUUGGAAAUGUUGAUGAUGUGCACCGGCACCAUUUUCCUUCCAGCUCUCGUAGUUUCUUCUAUGCUUAUCCCUUUCUCUAUUAAACACACUUUGCAUACGUCUUAUUCGUUCCUACAAGAACCGACCCAGACUUAACCAACCAAUUAAACAUCUAUGCAAGCAGAAAAAGCGCAUUUUCUUUGUGACUUACUAUGAUCAAUCAACUAAUAAAUACACAUUGCAGUGAGAUUUGUUUUCGUCACAAAAUACGGGGAUUCAGAUUCACCCAUCUGAAGAUUGCAUCACAACUUCCAUCAUAAUUUUUUUAAAAGGAAACAUAUAUUUUCUCAAAAAUAACAAUAAAGCAAGUACAGAAAUUAAUGAUACCAUUGGCGGACCUACAUUAAGGUCAGGGGGUGCAAGUGCACUUGCACCCCCUUAAUUUUAAAAAUUCACAAGUAAAUUUUUUCUUAACUAAAAUCGUAUAUUUUUGUAUUUUAUUUCUUCUAUAUUUAUAUAUUUGAACCCCCUGAUUUCAAUUUGUAUAAUUUGUCCCCACUGAACUCUGGGUCCCGGGUACGCCAUUGAACGAUACUGUACUAGAAAACUCACCACCCUCUCCAUCUCCUCCUCAUACUCCUCUUGCAAUCGCUUAUUGUACCUCUUCCAUGCUUCUUCUUGAAAUGCUGUUCGGAAAGAGCUGCCUCCUUUUGCCUGCGACCUGGACAGCUACAAACAGUUCAAUAAUAGCACAUGCGAUCAGUUUCACUGUGGUUGCCGUGCAUCUCUAGCUUGUAGUUCAAACACGAAUUUUUUUAAACUUCUUAUACAAAGCAAACCCCCUGAAGACAUGAGAGGAAAUGCAUAUGCUCAUAGAAUAUUAAGAUUACUAAAAAAAAUCUGCCACCGAAAAUCAAAAUGAUUUUGGUGCACCAUUGUGUAUGUUUGGAUAAGCAUUUGCAAAAUUGAUCUUGCUUAAAGUUUGAAAGUUUUUAUUCUAAAAGCAACUGAGCAGGAAAACUCAUUAUAAGAUUUUUUGUCUAAUGCAAAAGCAACUUGCUUUUAACUUGAUCAAUUCUGGACUAAACAUGUGAACCAUAAAUGGUGAACAUUCACUUAAACUCACGUUAGCUGGUAUUUUUAAGUGAUUCUGGAUCAUCUAACGUGAAUCCGAACACGGUAUCACUUCUUCACAUGACGGCACAACCACCACAAAAACACGGUCUGUGCGAGAUCGAGAUAAUAACCGAAUUGAAAAAAAAAAUGAUACUACGAAGUUGCAACUGAGAUUAAAAUUGAGCAUGCAAACCCUAACAUCAUUAUUCUGAGAGAAAUAGCAAUUAAGAUAAACAUAUUAAAAAACUAGGAACAUAAUUGCAGAAGAUUCAAACAACAAUUCGAAAAGCAAAAAAAAAAAAAAAAAACAGAGAAACUCACGGAGAAAGCAGUGACGGUGGCGCCGAUUAAUCCGAAGAUGAAAACUCCCCAAAGCUUAAUAUCUUGCGCUUUCUUUUCGUUCCUAUCGCUUUCGUCUUUGUUCAUUUCUGAAUCAAACUCAAUAAUAUCUCAUUCAACGAUUCAAGUCACCAAUUAUUCCACAAACCAAACACAUCUCUCUUUCUCUCUCUAUAAAUUUCUCACAGCACCAAAAUCCAAAACUCUUUUCUUCCCUCUCAACAGCGAUUGUCAUCUAUUUAUUCUUUUCCAGCUUCUGUUCAACGAAUUCACCAGAACCGGUUCGGUUAUUAAUAUUAUUAAUCCGAAUAAGCACUAUGACGUGGCACCACAUCAUCCGGUUUAACUUUUCCACAUAUUGGGCCACGAAUGGCCCAUUUCCAAUAAGGCCUGGCUGAUUGUCAAUCACCGGCUCGGCACGCACCGUUGGAUUCCACCAACCGACACCAACAGUCUCUGCACUUUUUUUUUUCUUCAUUUUUUGCAUACACAUCUCCACAAGAACAAAAAAAAAAAAAAACACACACACACACACCAUAGUCUGUUUUUUCUGUUUCUCUCUCUUCUUUCUAUAUGUAUUGCGCGCAAUUCAGAUCUAGCUUUUGCACAAUGCAAGUUCUAUAGGCUCGUUUGGUUUUGCCGGUAAUUCGACUUUUGUUGUAACGUGCUUUCAGUGCAUUAUUGAUGUAGCUGCGUAGCUUUUCGUCUUGUUUCCUUAUUGGCAUUGUGGUGGUGAUUUGGUUUCCGCUGAAAGCGUUUUCACUUUUCAUUCACGUUUUUUUAUUUGUGUAUUGCAGAUUAGUGUUUACUGAAACAACGUUUUUUGUGAUAUCGAGAAAAAAAAAAAGAGUGAUGUCGAGGAGACCGGGGAAUCCUACUAGAAGGUUCGGUGACAAUGGCGGUGGAUUGUUCUCUUCGAAAUCUAGGUCGCCACCGGUUUUGUCUAUUGCGCUUGUAAUUGUGGUGAGAUUUUUCUUUUGAUGUUGAUUCAAUGCUGUGAUUUCACUUUGAGGAAGAUUUUUGCUGAUUGAUUUGGCUUUGGCAACUUUAUAUUAGGGAGGUUUGUUUCUCAUUGGCUAUAUGUAUAGAGGCUCAGGUAUUUUGUUAUUGUUUUCAUUUUGUUGUUACUUUGAUAUGGUUUUUGGCUCGUUUUGUUUAUCUAUUUAAUUUAAUUUAAUAUUAGUGUUUUUUUCUUUUUUCUAUGUAGGUGGAUCUAGCAGCCGUAUAGAUUCUGUUAGCAGGGUUGAAGGUAAUUUUAAUUUUAUUUUCCUCUGGAUUGUGAGAAUUUAUGGCAUGGUCCCAGAGCAUCCAAACAAAACAAAACUAAGGGGGUCUAUCUAGCUUAGUAUGUGUGAGAUAUUGUAAACUUUCUGUCACGUGUCUUUGAUUCAUUACAAAAAGAGCUUCCAAACAAAACAAAACCAAGCUCUUCGAACGAACACCUUAUUACAUGCUUCUAGACCACUAUGGUUUUGACUAAUCUACAUGUGACAUGCACACAAGUUUGAUUAACUCUUUCUUGUAAAUUGAAAAAAAUUGGCCAUGUGUCAUGUGAAAUUGAUCGGGACUAUGGACAUAUAUUGAUAUCAGACCAUGUAAUAAUUUCUCAUUGAUUGUGAUCUGUUUCACCGUCAAUUUCUUCGUGCAUUUGAAAUAUUAUGGUAGUCUUUUAGUUGGUAUGCAAUUAGUGUCUUGUGUGCACUCACACAGUGGAUGUUGUUGAUUUUCCUAGUUCAUGAUUACUUGAGGUUAAUUUCUGUUGGCAGAGAAGUAUUUUGACACACUUGAUGGAUGUCAAUUAAGUUGAAGUCUUAAACAACAAUACAAUGUUGUGUCAUGUAUUUGGAUAUGCUGGAGCUUUAUCGGUGUUAUGAAUGAUUGUUUACUCGUUUGAGCUGACCUUGAAUGAUGGCUUGCUGCAUCAAAUGUGAUUUUCUAGUCAUGUUUUUUGUUAUGUGAUUAAGACUUCAUGAACAUUUUCUCCUCUUUGGAAUUGGAGGUGUUUGUGGUUUUUUAAUCAUAAAAUAUUCAAGAUGUUAAGCCACAUGAUGCUUAUCUCCUCUUUGUUAUGUGGGUCUGUCCAUUGAAGGCUUAUUGGUGCAUGUGAAUGCAUAGCGCAUAAAAGACUAUUCUUUCAUUCAAGGAAUUUCAUUUCUGAUAGUUGUGUGGUAUAAUAAGUCAUAUGUCGUUCUUCCAAAGAAAAAAAGAAAAAUAAAACUUGCUCAAUACCCAUUUUUAUCCGACUUAAUGCUUCUAGCAGAUGAAAGGCAUUCAGUUGUUUCUCUUUAUUGAAAUAUAAGUAAGCUUUUAUUCAUGAAUCCUAAGGUUGAAAAUUGCAUACUUGUUCGUUUCUUCUUGCGGUGGUGGGCAACUGUUCUGGUUCAACAAUCUAUGAUUCUUUGUGAUGAUGUAAAUUUUGUAGAUCAUGGUCCAUUUUUAUUCAUGGUGUUUGUAUAAUUUAUUGUGCCAAUCAUGAUGAAUUUGUUGAACUUAUUAAGUGAAAAUGAUUUCUAUCAUCCAUUAAUGAGUCAAGUAUUCAACAAUUACUUUUUAAUUCAUUUUCUUGGAAACGUAAUUUUUUGGUAAUUAAAUGUUGUUUUGAUGUUAAAAAAAAGCAUAAUGCACAUAUAUUGUGCAUUUAUAGUCCGUUGUGUAUUUAGCAAGUUUUCUAUGCGGAUGUAUACAUUUGUUGAAUUGCGAGUCUUGAAAAGUGGCAACAUACCUCGUGCUAUAAAUUUCAUAUUUCUUUCUCGAAAUGCAUUUUCGUACUUUAAUGAAAAACAGAAUGUGCUUUAAAGACUAAAGUGCAUCAUUGAAAUGAAUAAAAAAAUGUUCAUUCUGAUAUUAGUGACUUUUUAUUCCAGUGGAUGGAGAUGGGUUAGAGGAUCACAUGUUAAUCCCUUACUUUAUAAGACUCUCAAACUAGUGGAAGGUUUUCUUAGAACAUUCUCUUCCUCUCCUUUCUCCUUCACCCAAAUAUAACUUAAAAACCAUUACUUAGUAUUAUUAUCUCUAUCAUCUGCUUUAUCCAAUAGCCUUUAGCUUUCCAUUUAAUUGGAUUCCAGAUGUUCUGUAAUGAUAUACAUUACUUCCAAAUGCAGGUGAUUAUUUGUGCAGUGGAGAGGUCCAACAAGCAAUUCCCCUUUUACAGAAAGCAUAUGGAGAUAGCAUGCAUAAAGUUUUGCAUGUUGGUCCUGAUACUUGUUAUGUGGUCUCUAAAUUGCUGAAGGAGGAUGAAACUGACGCCUGGGGAAUAGAACCAUAUGAUAUAGAGGAUGCUGAUAAUAAUUGCAAAGCACUUAUACGUAGAGGCAGUGUGCGUGUGUCUGAUAUCAAGUUUCCUCUUCCAUACAGGCCAAAAUCUUUCUCUCUUGUAAUUGUUUCAGAUGCUCUGGAUUACCUGUCUCCCAGAUACCUCAAUAAAACUCUUCCAGAUUUGGUGAGGGUAGCAUCUGAUGGUGUAGUGAUAUUUACUGGUAAGAGCAUUUUAUGGAAUCUUGAAAUUAGUGUAGAUUCCCAUCAAUGAAUAAAAUUUAUUUUUCUGUCCAAAGAAAUUCUUUUUAUUUGAAACUUUCAUAAAAUCAGUUAGCUUUGCAGUUUUUUAUAGAGCUACAUAGCCAAUGGUGUUGAUUGAUUUUUGUAACCAAUCCCACCUAGCUGUUAUUGAGUCCAAAAGCUUGGUGGCUAUUGUUGAAGAAUGGAGCAUCUAGUAUUGAGAGCAAAAAUUUUGUUUGAUGUAGUGUGUUUGAGCUUAUGGGAACACUUAAAAUGCCUCUUAUUUGACUAAGAAUUAUGAUUUACUUUGUCUGGCGGUAAUUUUGAUGAGUUAUUGGGAUCUUGAGCUUUAAAUAUACUGUUUGUUUUGAUAAUAGCUUAAAAGACUAUCUUAGCAAUAGUCAAUAAUCUCUUGGGUGUGUCACUGACAUCUGAUAAUAUCUAUAAUGAAGGUUUUCCCACCACUCAAAAGGCCAAGGUAGCGGAUGUUUCUAAAUUUGGAAAAGCGGUGAGUGGAUUUUAUAUAAAGAAUAAUAGAAUGUUAUCUAUGCUUUUGUUGUCGCUUUAAAUUUAUUGUCAAUUACCGAGCCUAGAUAAAUAGAAGGUCCUUGAUCCUAGACUCUCAACCUUUUUAAAGCUAAGGAUAUUAUCGCCUAGGUAUAUCUUUUAUUUGUUUUAUGUGCAAAAAGUGGGAAAAAAGUAACUGAUUCCUCUUGCUUUAGGCCAAGAUGAGGAGUUCAUCCUGGUGGGUCAAGUUUUUCCUCCAGAUUAACUUAGAGGAGAAUGAAGCUGCUGUUAAGAAGUUUGAACUGGCUUCAUCCAAGAGUUCAUAUGUUCCGAAAUGCCAGAUAUUCCACUUGAAGUCACUCCAUUGACUUGUGGGAUGAUUCAGCAUUGGAGCUCUGUUGCUGCUUCUCCAUUUUCAUUUAAAACACUUUCUUCUCUAUAAAGGUAAUUUAAUUCUUGGAAAUAUACUCGCCAUAGAUGGUGUAUCAUUUUUGUUGAUAGAUUUUUAUUCUUUGAAUUCCAGCCCCUGACUGUAAAAGACACAUCAAUUUAGUAUUUUUACUAAAUUAUUAGUUGAAUUAGGCAAUCUAUAAGUAAGUCGCAGUGAUUGUUGUGCGAAAGUAAUAUUACUUCUUUUGUUGAGAUAUAAAGAUAAAAAUUAAAUGUCAUCAUAUUUUGUUGAAUAAUUUGUCAAAAGGAUGUAUAAACCACAUCCUUUUCCUUUAGUUUACGUCUAUCAUUUUGGGUCUGUAGAUUACACAGGAAAGUACAAUACCUGAACGGGAAGGAGACUUGGUUUUCCUAAUGCAAGAAUAAAGUAAGAAAUAUCAUUCGUUGAUGACAAAAUCAAUGGAUGACAUUCCAUCACAUACAUUAUUUUAUUAUGCUUGUACACGUAGUAAUAUUAACUGUUGAUUUUCACGUCAUGACUGAAUUUUUUUACCAACAUCUUAGUGAUAUAUAUAUAUAUAUAUAUUUACAUUUUUCACGACAAUAAUUCAAGACAUAAUUCAAAAAUGUAAAUAUAUACAUAUUAUUAAAAUGUUCACUUUAAUAUUGUAAACUCUUUCUUAUUUUUUGCCAACCCUUUUAAUCCAAUUAGUUGAAUGAACGGAACUUAGCUUAGCUGAGUUUUCCAUUGUCAAAAGUCAGUUUGGUUUAAAGUUUGCUAGGAAUUUGAUAAAAUUAAUUUUGAACCAUUAAAUGUAGUUGAAUAUGUGUUCAAAUUAAUCUCAACUGGCACUAGAGUAUAGACUUCACAAUUGCAGAUUAAAAAAAUCAGUGGCUUAAAAUCUUAUAGGUCGUUGCUGUAGCUGUCAACAUUCCCCGCUUAGGUCUGGUUUCUCUGGCAUCAGAAAUAGAGGGAUACUUUCGGUUUCUUCUGUUGUGUACUUAAAAAGGCAAAAAAGAGCUCUAGAAUAGGAUUGUUUGAGGUUGGUUUGAACUUGUCUCCUUGGUGUUUAAGCAUGUGAUUAUGAAUUCAAAUUUUAAGUUUGUGUAUGAAAAGAUAUUGAUUAAGAGAAGUCAGUAAAUGAAUUUUAAUAUUUUUGAGAGAUUAGUCUGUAAUUUUCGACUAAAGAAUGUUGAGUUCACGGGAAAAAAAAUGAGGGUUGUAUAGACUAUGCUUUGCCUUCAUGUCCGAAGACACAAGUUGCAAAUACCAGUGGCAGCAACGCUUGGACUAAACAUUUUGUGAGUAAUUCCAAUGCGUUGUUGUUUCCUGAACCUCCAACAAUUGCUUCCAGCAUCUCUAUUGAAUCCCAAAUGCAAUUUUACAUUCCUGAAGGUGUUGGAAGCAAUUGUUGACUGCGUAGGAAGUUUUAUCCUGCAUUUUGUUGCUACUGAAAUAAGUAACUUUGGGUCCAUUUGUUUAAAAUUAUAAAAAGUAACCUUAAAUUAAGCAUUUUUAAAAAUAUUUUUUAAUAAGCAAAUAGAAUUUGUUUAUUAAAAUAAACAGAAAAUUAUUAUGUUUUAAACAGAAGUUUAGAUAAAAGAUAGUAAGAAAAUAGGAAGUUACUUAUUUAGUAAAACAAAUGUUUUUUUUUCAAUAAAUACGUUUAAACAAAGUUACCUAUCAUGUCCAUUUUUCUUGAACAAACUUUUAAGCUGGUAAAAUAAGAUUUUAUAACUAGCCGAAGCUGUGUUGCCAAGUCCCACCAUUAAGCUUUCCUGAAGAUACUAGCAACAUAUCAUAAGCAGGAGAAUUAAUGACACGAAUUUCAGAUAAAAAAGAAAAGCCAUUUUAGAAAGGAACCACCUAUGCGUAAAAGUUGGUGUCUCCUGAAGGAUUUAGCGUGACGCUUGUGCAUACUUGAUACUUAAAAUGGAAACAAAAUAAUAUAUGACUUAAAUUGCACUAACAUAAAUAUUUAUGAACUGCGUGACGUAAGAAAAAUGUUUUAUAAAUGAACGGUCAAUUUUGUUUUUAACUAAUUAUAACGUUAAAUAAAAAAUAAAAGGCACUUUCAUAGAAGAUAAAAUAUACAGGUUAAGAUAAAAAAAAAAAAAUUAAGUAGUUCUAAUAAGACUUGUAAUAUUACAUUUUGUAGAUACAUAAGGUGACAUAUCUAAUUUUUAGUACCGUAACUAAAAUCAACUCUUGCUUCCAUCAUCUCUUGCAAAAUUAUGUUCCAAUAUUUAGUCAAAUAAUUAUUGUAAGAUACAUUAUGGAUUAUGGAUUGGCUCUUAUAAAAAAAACCAAGUAUCACUUUCGUUUUGGGUCUCAUAAAUAUGACUGGAAGGAGUGUUAGUUUGAAAUUGUGAGAAAUGGCAAGUUCUUGUAAAAAAGACAUUUCAAUGCUAAAAGUAAAAAAAGAUUCUUUCAGGUAAACGUUGAUGAGAAUGAAACACUUGAGUGGACCAAGGCCUAUAGUCAUCCUUUUGGUUGCGAGUUCUUUGGCAAGGCCUCGUGAUAAAAGAAAAAAAAAACACUAAGGAGUUCUAAUAAGACUUGUAAUAUGAACACCUUUUACAUUUUGUACAUAUAUAAGGUGUCAUUUUCAAAUUUUAGUACAGUGACUGAAAUAAAUUGUUGCUUCCAUCAUCUCAUGCAAAAUUUUGUUUCAAUAUUUUUUUUCUUAUUUAUAUCUAUACCCACAAUUUAGUUUCAUUUUUAAAAAAAUAUUAUUUUAAAAUUGUGAGAAAUGGGUGAGUACUUGUAAAAGAGACAUUUCAAUGCUAAACUCAGAAAAGAUUCUGCCAGGAUGAUAAUUUAUGAUAAAUGUUUACUUUUUGUUGCUAUGGCAUUGUUUAUAUUUAUAGAAAUUUGAGAUUAAUUGAAUUCUUUAGCAGGAGACAUGCUUUUCAAGGGUAAUAAUACUCUAUCUUGAAUUCUUGAUAUAACUACAGAGUAACUUUUUGCUAUGUGUGAUUUACUGUUUACCAAUGUAUAUUACAGAAAGGUUAAUAACACAUUUUUUUUUACAUAUUUCUUUUAAUAUAUAUUUUAUUGUUGAUUAAAAUUUAUUGAAAACUAUAAAAUCAGAAUAAAAAAUUAUUAAACCAAUUAAACUAAAAAAAAAUUAUGAUUUUCAAUAAAUUUUAGUCGAUCAUAAAAAAGUAUAUUCAAAAAAAUAUUAAAGAAUGUGUUAUUAUUCUUGUCAAGAUAGACUUCCAUCGACACUUAUAACUUAGGUUGUUCCAAUACUUGAGCAAAAAUGGACCACUACAUAGAUUGGAGUUCAAUUCCAAACUGAAACAAUUUCCAGCCUUUUAUUCUAUUUUGAUUUCCAUCCAUCAAAUUGACAAAAUAGUAAUGCUACUCUUCACUUCCAUCCACACUUCGACUCUCAUUAACAUUCACCAAACCACCCUGUAUUUCAAGUGGUGUAGCUGUUGGUUGCGUCUUGGGAAAGCACAGAUUAUAGUGGGUCGAUAAUAUUUGACGAAUCGAGCUUUAAGGUAGGGUGUGGUUUUGGGAAUAAGAAAUUUAAGCACAUUUGAGACAGAUGGGUUGAUUAUAUUUGACUUAACGCCGAAACCAAAAAUAGAAAACAAUUGUUGCAUGUCUCCCUAGAUUUUCAACGACCCAAUCACUGAAUAAAUGGUUUAUAUUGUUCAAUGAACUCAUAAUAUACAUGGUUUUUGCUGAACAGCCAUAAUUAUUUAUUCCCAUAUAAAAAGGUUUCAAAGACACGUAUGAAAAAGGGUCCUCAAAUAAUCCAUCCAAGUAUAUAUCUCCUCCAGAGUUUUCCCCAUCAAAUAUUGUGUUCCAUAUUUUUUUUAUCAAUCUUUUUGUUGUAAAAUGACAAAUAUAAUAUACAAAAAAUUGUCUUCAAGUCCAAUUUACAUGUAUUCACAGCUCCUUUCCAUCAAUUAUUAUAUUCAAUACAAUACAUAUGAUUGACAAAUAAUCAUUUUACUUAAAUAUCUAACUAAAAAUAUUUGUUUAAAAAUGACAAUUUUUUAAAUAAAUUUCAUUAACUCAAACAAUUAAUCUCAGACUUUUGACCAGAAGAUACUCUAAUUAAAAAAUAUAUACUUUGAAAAAAUUAAUCUAUUUUGAUGGCUGAAAAUGUGAGAUGAUGAUAAAUUGAUAUCCAAAAUGUAGAAAAUUUAAAUUUAAUUUUUGAAUGUGUAAAAAUUGUAACAAAUGAGUUCUAUGGUUUAAUUUGAGAGAUCAUUUUAUGAUUAAGUUAUAAUUUUUAAGGAUGAAUUUGAUAAUAAAAUGUAUUUUUUGAAAAUAAUUUGAUAUUAAGUUACAAAAUUUAAGGACUAGUUUAUCAUUAAAUUAUACACAGAUCUCUAUGUUGCAUUUUUUUUUACAUUCGGAUUAAUAAAUCCAAAUUUUGUAUCUGUGAUGAAUCAAAUUGCUUCACAAUUUGAAGGACAAAAGUAAAUAUUUUUCCAAAAACUAUAUAUUGGGUUCCAUGAUUUUCCAGAAUUGUUUUGAAAUCUCCACAACAAAAAGAAUUGUUUUGAAAUGAGAGUUUUAGACGAACACGAAAGCCCAUUUAGUCCAAUUUCUUCAACAGUGGGCCCAAAGAAAGCGUGUAUGGCGCAGAUCAACCGACCAAACGUGUUUUCAAUCCCACUACGUCUUUAGUUAAGCGAUUAAAAAAUCCUACCCAACAAGUGUUAAGCAACGCCAGCAGCUAGAAGAAACCAAUAUUCUUUCUCAUCACGUUCCACGUGGCAGCUCCUCGCCCGCGCUGGCGUAGCGCUGCGUCAUGAUCCGCGACGCAGCGUAUCCGGAAAAAGCUCUCGUAAGCGGUUACACGCUCUGCAUCACGCGCUCGAGAGGUUGGCGCCUCGGUGUCCGCCACGUGGCGAAUCCGUUACUCCCGCUUUUUCUUUCAAACCAAACAAGUACCAAUCACCAUAUGCAUGCUUGUAUGAUUCAUUUCAUGAAUCAAACCAUUUAUUUUAUAACUAUAACGUGGCUUUUCUGUGAUUAUGAUUAAUCAUUAUUAUGUCUACGCUUUAACUAAUUGCGUGUUCGCUGGCAAGGCAAUUGAGAAAGAAAAUGAAUGAGAAAGAGAAAAAAAAAAAAGAAAAAAGAGUAGGAAUCAACAAAAAUGCACUGUGACUGAAAAACAAAACCAAACAAACCUCAAAAGUUAGGGUUUCCUUUUUUGUUCGUUGCCGUGGAAUCGAUACUUUUGCCUUAUAUUAUUAAACGUACGUCAUUGUGAAGUAGAAGCAAGGCUCGCGGCAUUGCUCUGCGAGUUUUGACUUUUAAGCGUGGUUUGCUUUUCAAUUCAGCAUUUUGUCGCUUCUUCUAUUAAUUCUACCAAGCUUCGCUGAUUGAUCCAUCUUCGUCGACGAAUUGUGCAUUCCUGUGCUGUGCUGGUACAUUAUGCUUCCUUGUUCUUUUGACUUUUAAUUCGGAUUCGGAUUCAGAUUGUUAGUUUCUUCUAGAAUCGUUUCGGUUUUGUCUCUUUUAUCGAUUCAUUCAGAGUUAACAGUUUCCGUUUUGUUUAUUUGUUGUUAUGGAGUUUUGUUUGAUUCGAACUUUUUUGUGUGCUUAUUAUUGUGUUUGGUUUAAAAGCUGUUAGUUUGAAUCUGUUUUGGCGAUGUGUAUGAAAUUGUGAAUCUGUUCUUGUUGUUUAGACAGAUAACUCUAGAAUCUUAAGUUUGUUUGAUUCAACUAAUUAGCGGAACUGAUAUUUACUGAACUGGUUUUGCUCUUUUUUUUUUCCGGCUUCUGAAUCCUGUGUUUUAGUUUUGUACAUUAUUCAAGUUUAUCUCCUCCAGCAUGGGAACUGAGCAGGGUUUUGCGAAUUUGAUUUUGGAUUUAUUAAUUAGUAAAAUUGAGCAUUUAGGAGUGUGUUUGGGAUAAAAUAUUUUGUGAAUUGAUCUAAUUUAGUUUUAGUUGUUAGAUUUGACUUCUUCUCCCCUUAUUUGUUAGGUCAUCUACUUAUUGUAGUAAGGCUAAUUAAGUAAAAUGGCCGAUAUAAGACCAAUUCAAUUUGUCUUUAACUCUUAUUGUGUUCCGAAGAACAUUAGAAUUUUUUUAUGUGUAAAUCAAUCGGAUGUCUUUUUUUAAAAAAAUAAGUUGAGAUGUGAUUUUUAAAUCAAUUCAAAUAGUGAGUUACAACUAAUAGUGAUUCUAAAUGGAACUUUUAAAUGGGCUUUUUUGUGGUAUCUGUUGGGAAGUUGGAAAAGGGGAUUGAGAAGUUUGUGAAACUUGAUGCCAAGCGACUCUGCAUACUUGUGCAUAGUGCUCUCAUCGAAUCCUCCAUAACUUGCAGCUGGAUUGGGUUAUUGAGUAAGAAUGUUGUUGCCAAUGUAAUGUCACCACCAAUGCAUAUUAUUCUUAUUUUGAAUUCUUCUCUCUCAAGUGCAAGCUGCAUGGUGGACUGUUAGGAUGUUGAAACAUUAUACUUUGUGAUAUAAAUUUUAUGCAUGUGUAUAAUGUAUCUUCCUGAGUCAUGACUGUAGAAUGUCAAAGUAAAUUAUUCUAGUUUCUGGUUCUUUUAACUUUACUUCUUUAACUCUCAGCAAGUGGGUCUGUUAUUGUUAAAGCUUUCGAGUGAAUUAUCCUUUUUUCACUUCAAUCCUUUGCGUCUCUGUACUGUUGCCUAUUGUGGCAUAGUUAAAAAUCUCAUAGUUACAGACAGAAAUCCUGUUGCACUUUAAUAAAUUAAAUGAAAAGAUUUUUCAAUGUUGCAUUACUGUACUUGUCCAAAGAAAUACAUUUCUGACGGAGACAUUGUUUGGAAUAUAUACACUUUCAGGUGAUGGGUAUGGUUUGGAUUUCAAAUGUCUUUCUUCUCGGGUAAUGAGAUGCAUCAAGUUUUGAAGUACAGUGAGCAGGGAUGGACAUUGCUGCUCUUUUAACUUCUGCUGGAAUUAAUAUUGCUGUGUGUGUGGUGCUCUUUUCAUUUUAUUCUGUAUUAAGAAAACAACCCAGCAAUGUUAAUGUGUACUUUGGAAGGAGACUAGCCUCUCAGCAUUCAAGACGCAUUGAUCUCUGCUUGGAAAGAUUUGUUCCCUCCCCUAGCUGGAUAUUGAAAGCAUGGGAAACAUCUGAGGAUGAGAUACUGGCCAUUGGUGGCUUGGAUGCUGUGGUUUUCGUGAGGAUACUUGUGUUCAGGUUGUUCAAUCCUUCCAAGAUUUGAAUAGUUUUAUCUGUGUGCCUUGUGCUAUAAUAAUAACAGUGUGCUAGAGUGAAUUGUUUUCUUAUCUGUUAAUUUUUUUAAUCUGAAAUCUUCAGAUGCCCAUCAACUAUCAAGAUUUCUGAUACCUAGUUAAGUAGAAGUGAAAUGUUAUUAAGCUCAUUCUAAUGGAUAUUUUCAGUCUACUCUCUAUAGUCUAGAUUCAAUUGAUGUCUCUACGAAUACAUGUAAGAAGUAUAUAUUUGAUGACAUCUCACCUGCAUUGUUCACCAUUAAAACCUCUCUGGUCAGUUUUAAUUAACAUGCAAAUUGUGUUGUUCAAUGUUAUCAUUUUGUAAAUGAUUUUACCUUGCUUCAGAAACAAAUUCUCAUGAAAGUCACUCUUUUGAGCCCUUUGGGUUAAAAGGCAUCUAAACAUUGAAACUAGCUUGGAAAUAGAAUAUUCAUCUAAAAGUGAUACUUGAUUGCAUAUUAUGCUGUCAGAUGGAAUGGAACAAAUACUUAAAUUAUAAUUUAAAUAAAUUUUAUGGUGUGAUAUCAUAUAAUAUGACAAAUGUUCAUCUAUUAAUCUAUCACCUUUACUGAUGGUUUUGUGCCUGCAUAAGAAGGCAUUUGCUUAAAAAUUUAUGUCAAUAACAAGAAUUGAGAUUUGUGCUCAGAGAUAGAAGCAAGAUUGCUGUUUGUUGAAUAAACUGAGAGUGAGAGAAGGAAGAGAAAACUUGUUAAGCAUAAAGGCUAAUUUUAUUGAUUAUCAAAAGUUAAUUACAAAAGGUUAUAAAAGAGGUAUAUAUAGACCUCAUUUCUGUUAUUGUAACAGAAUUGUAACUAACUAACAAAACCUAACCAACUCUAACUGAUUCUAACCAACUUUAACUGAUUCUAACCAACUCUAAGAUAGAUGCUGUUAGCAAAAGCCAACAGCCCUUACAAUUAGUUUACAGAAUUGUUUUCACAGUUGACUAACAGCAUACUCUAAUACCCCCCUUCAAACUUAAGGGGAAGAGUUUUCAGGAGAAACAUUCUUCACAUUGAGUUUUCCUCGAAGAACUUCAAAUCAUGAUGCAGAAAGAGGCUUGGUGAGAAUAUCAGCCCACUGAUCUAGAGCUGGAACGUGGACAAUAGUAAGCUGCUUGGCCAAAAUCUUCUCUCACAAAAAAGACAUCAAUUUCCAUGUGUUUGGUACGGCUGUGAAAAAUUGAAUUGUGUGCAAUAGAAACUGCACUCUGAUUAUCACAAAAAAUAACAGGAGUAGUGAAUGAAACUUGCAAUUCUGUUAGCAGAGUAUGAAUCCAAGUUAAUUCAGUGGAAGUCUAAGCUAUACUGCGAUACUCAGCUUCUGUACUAGACCUGACAGUAACUUUCUGCUUUCGAGACCACCAAGAGAUUAAGUUUGGACCAAGAAAAAUAGCAGUCCCUGAGGUAGAGCGCCUGUCGUCCACAUCUGAUGCCUAGUCAGCAUCACAAAAAGCUCAAAUAACUAAGGGCUUUGUAACAGAUGUAGGUUGAAGAAGCAAACCAUGAAACAAAGUGCCCUUCAGAUACCUUAAUAUCCUUUUUACCACUGUCUAGUGAGAAUCCAAAGGAGUUGCCAUAAAUUGGCAAACUUUGUUGACAGCAAAACUGAUCUCAGGUCUAGUAAGGGUAGCAUACUGUAAUGCACCAACUACAAACCUGUAUAAGGUUGGAUCAUGAAAAGCAUCAGCACCAUGUCGAAACAACUUGUAGUUGGAUACCAUUGGAGAAGAGAUAGAGUGAGCUUCAGCUAUGUUAGUCUUGUGAAGUAAAUCUCUAAUGUAUUUGGUCUGAGUCAUAAGGAUAGAACUGUUGGGUAGAUUCUUGAUUUUCAAACCCAGGAAAUAAUCUAGAUGACCAAGCUGCUUGAAUGAAAAAGCAGUGUUUAACUUGUAUGUAAUUUGCUGUAUUAGUGAAGGUGAACUACCUGUUAGAAUGAUAUCAUCCACAUAGACAAGGAGAUAAACAACAUUCAUUUGUUGGCGAAAAAUGAAUAAAGAUGAAUCACUAUUGCUUCCAAUAAAACCAAACUACAGUAAAGUAGAUUUUAGCCUGAUAAACCACUGCCUUGGAGCCUGUUUUAAGCCAUAAAUGGCUUUGUUGAGUUUGCAUACCAAUGACUUAUUUGUAACUUCAAAACCAGGAGGCUGAGUCAUGAAAACAGUUUCUUCAAGUGACCUAUUCAGAAAAGCAUUAUUGACAUCAAGUUGAAAUAAUUUCCACCCAUGAGACAAAGCCAAAGUAAGGAUGAUCCGAAUAGUAACAGGUUUGAUCACAGGAGAAAAGGUUUCAUGAAAAUCAAAACCAUGCACUUGAUGAAAUCCUUUGGCUACCAAUCGAGCUUUGAACCUGUUAAUGGAACCAUCAGCAUUUUCCUUUACCCUGAAAACCCAUUUACAACCAAUAGCUUGCCUAUUAGGAGGUAAUGAUACCAAGUCUCAAGUUUUGUUCUUUAGCAGGGCAUUAUACUCUUGUCGCAUAGCAGUGAGCCAAUCUUCAUUUGCCAAAGCCUGUUUUACAGUUUUAGGCUCAGAAUGAGUAAGAAACAGAGAAGGAUGUAACCUAGGGUUGUGAAUACCAGACUUAGACCUUGUUUGCAUAGGAUGAGUAUUGACUGGUACAGAAAUAGAUUCUGAAGAGGAUGAAGCAAGGGUGGUAGAGUUUGAAUUGACAGGCUGAACAGAGACAGACACAGUGGAAGUAGAAUUUUGAGGUACAGACUCAGUGUUGCCAGAAGACUGAGUUGAUAAAGGAGAAAACCCAAGAGGAACAAGGGGAACAGAAGCUGUAUCAGACACUUGAGAUGUUUGAGAAACGGAAGAGAUAAAGAGUGGAGAAAGAUUUGGAUUGAGACUAAAGUAGGAAUCAAGGUUACUGACUGAACUAGUAGAAGUGGGAAACAGAUCAGAAUAGGGGAACCUUAACUCAUUGAACAAAACAUCUUUAGAAAUGUACACUUUACCAUAAGAAGAUAAACAUUUGUAACCCUUGUGGGAAGAGGAAUACCCUAGGAAUAAACAUUCUUGAGAAUGGAAAUUCAGUUUAUGUGUAUGAUAUGGUCUCAAUAAAGGAAAACAUGCACACCCAAAAGUUUUAAGAAAAUAAUAAUCAGGUUCCUUUUUAAACAAGCUAACAAAGGGAGUGACAAAUUUUAGAGAAGUAGUGGAAAACCUGUUAAUGAGAUAAAUAGAUGUAGUAAAAGCAUAAUCCCAAAAUUGCAAAGGUAAAGAUGCAUGAUGCAGCAAUGUGAGACCCAGAUCAAUUAUAUGUCUAUGCUUUCUCUCAACCACACCAUUUUGAUGAUGAGUAUGAGGACAGAUAAGUCUGUGAGAAAUGCCAAAAGAGGCUAAAAGUGUGGAAAAGGGUCUGUAUUCACCUCCCCAAUUAGACUGGACACUUUUGAUUUUGAGGUUAAGCUGUAGUUCAACCAUGGACUUGAAAGUUUGAAAAACAGACAUGGUUUCAGCUUUGGACUUUAUAGGAUAUAUCCAAGUAUACCUAGAGAAAGCAUCAAUGAAAGAGACAUAAUAUUUAUAAUCAGAAUGUGAGGUAAUAUGAAAAGGUCCCCACAAAUCUAUAAAAAUGAGCUCUAAAGGAGAAUAGACAAAAGUAGAAGUAUGAGAAGGUAAUCUAUGAGAUUUACCCAUACAACAAGAAGCACAAAACUCUGUGGAAUUUUUAUUUGAUGAAGAAGUAUUACAAUGAUUGAGAACAAGUUUCAUUACAUGAUCAUUAGGAUGCCCUAACCUAGCAUGCCAGAGAUUAGCAAUACUGAGAGAAGAAGAAACAAAAUCAGACAUUAUAGUAGAACUAUUAUUAUUAACAGUGAGAGUUGAACUUGGAGAGGCAGCACUUGAAACAACAAACAUCAACAGUGAAGGACUCUUUUGAAGCUUAAGAUUAUGAAAGGAGUAAAGUCCAUCAGCACCAACAACUCCUUUAAGAAAGAUCUUAUUGGUCUCCUGAGAUUUUACAAGACAUACAUGAGGGUGAAGUUCAAAGAAAACAGAGUUAUCUUUGGCAAAUUGACUAACACUUAACAAAUUUUUCGAAAUUGAAGGAACAUGUAGUAACUUGUGAAGUUUAAAGGUUAUGCCAACAUCAUUAGGAGAUAUAAAUGAUGCAGAACCAGUGUUAGAAAUACUCAAACCUUCACCAUUGCUUAUGAAUAUUUGAUCUGGUCCAUCAAAGUGAGUGAAUUGUUUAAUAUUCUGUGAGUUUCAAGUUACAUGAAAGCUGGCUCCAGAAUCUGGAAUCCAGGUGGUACCAGGUUGCCCAUUCCCUUGAGAGGUUGAACUAGUGAGCAUGGCACUGGGUUGACUAUGACUUGGACCAGAAUUCUUAGAAUUCGGAUUAACCCAGGUGUUUGAGGUUCUGACUGAACCAGUAGAGUAUGGGAUAGGCUGUAAUGUAGUGGAUCAAUGAAAGUUAAAGAUUCAUGAGGAUGGAAGGUCACAUCAGACCGAAAAUGAAAAACAUUAGCUGUGUGCCCAAAUUUGAGACAUAUUUGACAUUGAAAAUUUGCAAAUCGUUCACCACCACGACCUCGGUUGGAGCCACCACCACCACGGCCCGCACCACGGUCCGAAAAGGCACCACGACUACCACCAGGACCAUAUGCACCGCGAGAACCACCAGAAUCACCAAUUUUUUUAUAGGUGUUUGGAUACAAAUAGCCUUGCAUGUAAUUCAUCGAAGCAGAGUUCAUCACCUGUGCUUCUUGUCGUAGUGCAUGAGUCGAGUUUCAUGUCCGUAGAGCAACACUUCAAUCUCUGCGAUGGACGGAGUUCACUUUUUGCUUUCGAUAAUAGAAACCACCGACGCGUAAUCCGAUGGCAGUCCUUCAAGCAGUGCGUCAACAUAUUCCUCAUGACGAACAGGGACACCAACACCAACAAGUUCAUCCACAAACCCUUUGAUUUUUCGCAAGUACUCCUCAAUUGUUUUGCUGUCAAGAGUAAUUGCUCUCAUGGCAGUGCGCAGUUGUCGUGCUCGAGUUUUCAUGUGAAGGCUAAAAUGCUCAUGAAUUUUAUUCCAAACUUGAUAGGAAUGAUAUGAACCAAGAACAUGCGACAACACUGAUUUAGAAAGAGUUGACUGCAGCCAUACCAGGAGUGUUUGAUCUUGGACUUCCCAGGCUUCAUAAUCAGGGUUGAUAUGAUCAGCAACACGAUCAUCUUCUGUGAGAUAAUGAGGAGGAAUAAUCGGAUUAACCAUGAAACGUUGCAAUCUAUGUGACUUGAUAACUGGUUCAACGUGCUGAUGCCAGUGAAGAUAGUUGGAAUCAUCAAGUUUUUCAGCCACAGAGUUGGGAAAUGAUUGAGGAACUGAACUGGAAGGAGCGGAACCCAUGAACACAGAACACUGGACCUUGUAAAGGAACUAGGAAUUCGAAAAAAUGGCUCUAGAUACCAUGUUGAAUAAACUGAGAGUGAGAGAAGGAAGAGAAAACUUGUUGAGCAUAAAGGCUAAUUUUAUUGAUUAUCAAAACUUAAUUACAGAAGGUUAUAAAAGAGAUAUAUAUAGACCUCUGUUCUGUUAUUGUAACAGAAUUGUAACUAACUAACAGAACCUAACUGAUUUUAACUGAUUCUAACCAACUCUAAGAUAGGUGUUGUUAGCAUAAGCUAACAGCCAUUACAAUUAGUUUACAGAACUGUUUUCACAGUUGACUAACAGCAUACUCUAAUACUAUUGACUAAAUAUAAUUGAUAUAGGUAACCCAGUAUCCAUGAAGUACCAAAACAAAUUAAUGAAGCUAAGUGUGAGCGGGCAUUUUGUCCUUUAUAAAAUUAUGUAGUUUUCUAUUGAGUAUGAUAAAUUACCAUAUGCAGCUUUUGUUAUGCCUUGGUUUUUAUGUGUUUGGUUUCAGCUCCAUUUUUUUAUUCAAAUCAAAAUUAGUUCAUCAUACAGUAUAUCAAAUAAAAAUUAUGCCUAAAGGAAAUUUGAUUGUCCAUCUUGUGGCGUUACUAACUGUAAUGUUGCCAUUGUCUACUUCAGUAUUCAAGUGUUUUCCAUUGCUGCUGCCAUAUGCACUGUUAUGGUGCUUCCUGUAAAUUACAAUGGUAUGGGCGGAAUGCGUAAGAAUAUACCUUUCGAGUCGCUGGAAGUAUUUACCAUUGAGAAUGUCAAAGAAGGAUCAAAGUGGUAUGAGUUAUAUCUUAUUUUUCAAUGGAAGUGUAAAUUAUGUUAAUUAGAAAUAGCCAAAAAAGUGUACAAGUUGAGAAAUACAAUAGACUUUUCCUAGGUUACUUGAAUUUUCAUAAUCAGGAAUGAACAAUGCUCUCAAAGAAAAAUGUGGAUCUGCUUUCUCAUUAGACUUUUCCUCCCAUGGCUGAGUAAACUACCCAACUUUUCUAUAUUGGGGAAUGGGAAGUUUAUUUGUGCUGUCUUUUUUCCUCCAAAACAAAAAAAAUGAACUGUUUGAAAUUUGAAUUUCUAUUGACCCGAGUCAUUCACCUUUAUGUAUUAGCUUUUUUUUUUUUUUUAAUUUUAAGAUGUUAAUAAAGUAGUAAUUAAUGGCUUUAUUCAGUGGUACACCUCCAUACUAGUUACUUAUAUGUUGUUUUUAUUCUUUUGCAUGUCAUCAGGCUUUGGGUUCAUUGUCUUGCACUAUACAUCAUAACAUUAUCAGCUUGUGCUCUUCUUUACUUUGUAAGGAUCUGAAUUUAUCUACAAGAUAAACUUCUCUACCUCUUUUUAGUUUUACUAUGCUAAUUCUUAAAUAUUGAUUUAUUGGUGUUUAUAUUUAGGAAUAUAAGAGUAUUACUAAUUUGAGGCUACUACAUAUUAUUGGAUCACCUCCAAAUCCAAGUCAUUUUACAAUUCUUGUCCGAUCAAUUCCCUGGUCUUCAGAAGAAUCAUACUGUGAAACCGUGAAAAAAUUCUUCUCAUAUUACCAUGCAUCAACAUAUUUGUCACACCAAAUGAUUUAUAAGUCUGGUAAAGUUCAAAAACUGAAGGUGGGCUUCUUAACUCCUUUAAAUUUUUUGUUGUCAGUUAAGCAUCAAACUGUUUGCCAAUUUUAUACUUAUGUAAAGUUUAUUGCUUAGAUUACCAUCACUUAUUGAAGUCAUAACUGUCAAUGUGUGUUUUUUCAGUAGUCUAAGAUGAUUACUUGGUUCAAGGUACAUAUAACCGAUAUACAUGUUUAUUAUGGAAAUGAUUAUUUACAUUUCUUUCAUUUUCUGGCUCUAUCUUUAUUGGGUAGAUUUGGUAAUGUAUCUGUAUCUUUUCUCCGUAGUGAACUUUAAAAUUUUUAGAAUUCUCUUUAGCAGAAAUGGAAGUUCCUUUCUCAUUUUGACAUGCCUGGUUUUACAUUUAGUUUUAUUGUACCAAUAUAUGACUAGUUAUACUCUAUGAUAAUGAAUGUUGGGCUUUAAAGGGACAAGAGAAGAAAAAGUGGGUGUGGCAAAAAAAAGAGCAUGUUAAGAUGCGUGGACACACAAGAAAAGACGAGAUAUGUUAUGUGGUAUACUAGGAGAUAUUGUUGUGACAUUCAACUAUUCAAGUCUGUAGUUAUUAUUUUAUUCAAUGAUAUAAACUUUUACAACUCUUGUUGCCAGAACAGCUACUUAUACUUUAUUUUAAUCUUCUCCCCCCAGGAUGAUGCUGAACAUAUAUGUAAGGUAAUUAGAGAUGCUUCAUUGGAAAAGACUUGUAAGCCUAGUUUUACGAAAUGUUGCUGUUAUGGAGCACCAACAUUUUCUUUUAAGAAGAUUUCUACUGAAACGGGUAGUACACAUGGGAGAACAUGCAACAAUGACUUGCAUUUAGAUACAGGAAAAAAGGUAAUUUUUCUGGCUGGACUGGUUUAUAUAGUCAUGACACAAUGUAAACUUCCUUUUUCCUGAUUUGACAUUGAAACACCUUGUUUGUAAAUUUAAAUAUAUUCUCUCUGGUACAUUCUUUGACAUGUAGCCAAUGUAAACCAGGGAAAUUUUAAUUGAAACUAAUUCCCUAUAGAAGUUUUUCAAAGCCUCAAAAUCAAAAGUAUUAUAUGUUACCUUUCAAUUAGAAUGUUGAUAAGCAAGUUCCUAGUGUGACAUAGACGAACAAAUAAUCAUUGAUGUAGCUGAAUUCUAUUAGGUCCAUUAGAGAUAUAAAAAUCAUUCUUGAAGCUACACCUAAUGGUUUAAGCUUUGUAAAUGAAUUGGUACUUGCCAUGGUAUUGGAGCCUUUUUGUCAAGUGGGCUAGAGUAAGGUCCUUGCAGAACCCAUUAUUUGUAACUAAUAUCCAAUAUGAGCACAUGCAAAAGAAAGUAAAUAAACAUGAUUGCAUGGUAAUCUGAGUCUGCAUUGUCCAUGUUUCUUAUCUAAAUGAUUCCUGUGUGAGUGGGUGUGUUAGAGAUAAAAGAACCAUUCUUGUUGCUACUUAAUAGCUGGAAAAAUUAGCAUUCCAAGAAGAACAAUUAUACUAGGUUGAUUGAUGUGGUGCAUGCCUACAUGGUGAAAAAUAUAUGAAAUCUUUGUUUUUUGUGUUUGAAAGUUCAGUAUAUAUUUUGGAUUGAUUUGUGACUUUUUCAAUCUUAUUAUUUUGGUUCUGAAUUUAUCUCAAAUUUUAUUUGUGAUGUUUCCUACUUGUGUUAUUGUGUAUCAGCCACACAGGAAGCAGUCAUAGUUGGAAUAAUUUUAUGUUGUGUCAUUAUAGUGUUCUGUUCUGUUCUUCUGUGUGCUUAUAGUAUUAUUAUCAUGAUUUGUUAUGCCAGGUAAUGAAAUCUAUGCCAUUACAAUUUUUAUUUUUAUUUAGUUGCUGUAGAAAUAUUUCAGGUUGUGUGAUGUCAACAAAUUUUGUGUCCACUAAUUUGUGCUUCAUGUUUGGAUUUCUGAUACAGGAAUGUCCCGCUGCUUUUGUGUUCUUUAAAAGUCGGUAUGCUGCUCUUACGGCUGCACAGGUACUGCAGACAUCAAACCCUAUGUUAUGGGUGACAGACGUAGCUCCUGAACCACAUGAUGUAUAUUGGUCCAAUAUUUGCAUACCAUAUAGGCAACUUUGGAUCCGUAAGAUAGCUACCCUUGUGGCCUCGGUUGCCUUCAUGCUUGUGUUCCUUAUCCCUGUUACAUUUGUACAAGGCUUGACUCAACUAGACAAACUUCAGAAAAUGUUCCCUUUUCUGACAGGGAUACUUAAAGAGUAAGAUGUUGCUGCAUCUAUUAAGGGACUAAUGUCAUGGACUUCUAUAUGAAUCAGGAUUUUGAAAGAAAGAAUUAUGCAUGAUAAUUUGUAUGCAAAGCUUCAUUUUAAUAUGUGACUUAGUGCAUUAAUUUACUUGAUGAAUGUACAACUUCAUUUUAAUAAGCAAUAAAGAUUUUAGUGAAAAUUACAAAAAGAAAUUGAUUGUAGUUUAGGAACAAGUAGCCUCUCAACUAGUGAACUAUGUUGAGAGAGUAGUUCAUGUGUAACCACUUGAGUGGCCAAUUAUUCAUAAACUAAGUAUUUGAAAAGAAAAAAUUAUUUGGAACUCUCCCAAGCUCUUAAAUCUGAUAUUUUAUCAAGCUUUUGGUUAUUAUUAUGUCUGCUUCUUGUUUGAAGUGAUAUUGUCAGUAUUCACAUACAAGUUGCUCAUUGGUUGUCCUUUUAUUCUACCUUUUUUUAGUUUAUAAUUUCUCACAGAAGCAAUACAAAAAUUUUGUAUUUACAUGUCAUGCUUUCUUGUUAAAUUUGAAAUGAUAAUAAGCUAAUAUAUGAGAACUCAGUCAUGGGAUAUGAAUUGUUAGGUAGGUACUUAUUAACUUUAAAAUGCUAUAAAGUUCACUGUAAAUUGACUCUUUUUUGCAGGAAAUUUGUGAAUCAGGUGGUGACUGGUUACCUGCCAAGUGUGAUAUUGGUUUUAUUUUUGUGCGCAGUUCCACCUGUGAUGAUUCUAUUGUCUUCUGUGGAGGGUUCUAUUUCCCGUAGUGAAAGGAAGAAGAGUGCAUGUUUUAAAGUCUUGUACUUCACAAUCUGGAACGUGUUUUUUGUUAAUGUAUUUACUGGUUCUGUAAUCAGCCAGCUCUUAGUCUUUUCUAGUGUAACAGAUCUGCCUGCCCAGCUUGCCAAGGCAGUGCCACUGCAGGUGAUGCAUCUUAAUUCCUACAAGAAUAGCGUGAAUUUUGAAUUCUUACCCUAUAUUUAGAUUUAUUCUUUGGAUAUGACAUGUUAUGGAGUAUUGUUGUGUUGUAUUGUUGAAAUGAUUUUUUAUGCACUUGGAUGUAUGCAGGCUACUUUCUUCACAACUUACAUUUUAUCAUCUGGUUGGGCAAGUUUGGCAGUUGAAGUUAUGCAAAUUUUCCCUCUACUAUGCAAUCUUUUCCAGAGAUUCAUACUCAGGCUUAAGGAAGAUGCACUUGAUGGCAGCCUAUCUUUUCCGUACCAUACAGAAGUUCCAAGAAUCUUACUGUUUGGAUUCCUUGGGUUCACUUGUGCUAUUCUGGCACCCUUAAUGUUGCCCUUCUUGUUGAUCUACUUUUUCAUUGCUUACCUUGUUUAUCGAAACCAGGUUAGUAAAUCUAUCAGGUAUUUGUCUUGUAUUUUUCCUCAUUAUGGAGUUUAUUGCAUUUAAUUACUUCAUUUAUGCAUAAAAAUUAACCUAAUUUGUGUAUCGAGAUGCUUUUGUUUCUUUUGUUAUAUUUUAUUUUAGGUGUUAAUAUCUAAUAGACUUAGCCAUACAAAUUAGUGAUUGUUUCCUAACAAUUUUUUAUGAUUUGAGUGAUUAGUUAUUGGGGAAGAAGGUGAGUCUACUGAUUGCAAAUUCGUCCAAUAUUAGAGGAAGCCAAAUUAAGAGCCCCAAUAUUGGACGAAUUUCAAAAUUAUAAGUUAACUUGCCCAACCCUCUUAAAUUUUGAAAUAAACAAAGUAUUUUCAAAAUAAUCCCUCCCAUCCUCUUGAUUUCUUUCAGUUAAACACUAUGUUAGUGAUUCCUUGAUUUAUUUUUAACCUUCAUAAAGAGCUUCCAUUUAACAGAUAUUUUUUCUCUUCAGAUUAUCAAUGUAUACAUUACAAAAUACGAUAGUGGGGGACAGUACUGGCCCAUUGUUCACAACACAACGGUCUUUUCAUUGCUAUUUUCUCAACUUAUAGCGCUAGGGGUGUUUGGACUCAAACGCUCAUCAGUUACAUCUGGAUUCACCAUUCCUCUGCUGAUUGGUACACUUCUAUUUCACCAGUAUUGUAGGCAACGGUUUCUCCCAGUAUUUAGGAACAAUUCAGCACAGGUAAAACUCCCUUUCUCGCUGCCCCUAUCCUGACCCCUUGUCUGUCAUUCAACCCCUUAAAACUAAUUAAGCUUGCUUUAGAUUCUUAUUGACUUGGAUCGGAGAGAUGAGCACUGCGGAAGGGUGGAAGAAAUUUAUGAACAUUUGUGUUCAGCCUACAACCAGUCCAGUUUAAUGCCACAUUCCACAAGCCAAGCCAAAUGUGUCAGUCUUCAUGAGGACAAGGAUAGCAGUCCAUCUUCAUCAGAAGAUAUGGAGAAAGGUUUGCUUUGCUUUCAUACAAUCCUUGUGAUUUCACUUUUCUGAUAAUGUUUAAUAACUCAGUAAUGCUUGCUUUUCACUCAGGCAAUGAAAAGGAAAUUAAUCAAAAAGAUAGACCACGGCCUGUCCAACGCUCAUUGAGUUUGAGUUCAGAUAAAUCGGUACUUGGUGUAAAGCAAUGAGUACUCAGAAUUGUACAUUGUAUAAGAAUAAGAAUAUCAUGGUGUGCCGAUGCAUGAACAGUUAAUCAAUUAUAGAUGAAGAUGAAAGUCUCUUGAUAUAUUGUUCAUAAAUUUUUUUAGUUGUAAUUAUUUUUUAAAAUGAUUUUCAAUUAGUUGUAAUUGUCCUUUUGGCUGUGAUGUGGUUGGAUCUAUCCAUCAUAUUCUGUCUGUAUGCCCGAAAAUUUUAUGCAUUUGGUGGCAGUGGUAUUCUCUCUUUGGUAUCUGUACAGUUUUUCCAUCCUCCGUGGAAACUCACUUCUGGCAACAUUGCCUUGCGUAUUGAGUCAAAUAAUAUUAGAAAUCUGGAAGAUUAUCUGGUGUGUCAUAGUUUGGAGUAUAUAAUGUCAUAGGAAUGAUUGGGUAUUUAAUUGCUUUAGCUUUGAUGGAGAUAAAUUGCUAGAGGAAACCAAGUUUCUGGCGUGGUCCUGGCUCAACUCUGAAGGUUAGGAACAGAGGGCUUUUCUCACUCUUUCUCUCAGUGGCAAUCAAAUACUGUUGCAUGUACUGUGGAUGUUCAUCUUCAACUACUGAUAUCUCGUGUUUAAUAUUGGCUGCGACAGAGGUGUGGAGUUUUCAGCUUUAUGGUAGAAGGGGAUUUGUUGCAAGUUAAGGAUAUAAUCUGGAGAGAUUUUCUUAAGCUUUUGUGGAGGGAUGUGGGGUUAUCAAACUUGAUUUGUGUACUCAGUUGUAGUCUUAUUUGGCUUUGGUCUGGCCGCAGGAUACGUGCAUGUCGGGGAUAGGGGGUAUAGCAGUCAAUCCAUUUUGUAGUGUAGGAUUGGAACUCUUUGCUUUUCUGUAGUUUAUGUGUACAUGUGUAUGCCUUUUGUGUCUUGAAUCUUCUUAUAUGCAACUUGUGUGCAUAUCUUAAGAUUCAAGAUCUUAUGUCGGUUGUUUUGUUGGGAUAGGGCAUCUCAGACAGGGUACUGUGAUAGCUAAUUGUUAUUACUUAAUGGCCUUCUUGUGUUCUAAUAUUAUAAGUAUACAUAUUUCUUUGCCGAUAAAAAGAAAGGUGUUAACUUUUGUUUAAUGCAUUUACUCUCAUCUUAUAUUAUCCACUAUUAUCAUCUUUUACUCAUUCAAUGAAAUAUUCCCACCUUUGUUAAAGAGUUUUUUGAUAAAAAAAAGUGUGAACUUCAUUUUUAGGUGGAUUGGGGUGAAGGAAAGAGAGAUAGAUAGAAAAGAAAAAAUAUAAAUGUGGUAGCUAAUGUGAUGGGAAAACAAAAAGUGAGAAGAAAAAACCAAAAUGCAAAUAUAAUUACUUUAGAUAUCAUUAGCAUAUUACUUCGAGCAAAAGGAAGAGAGAGUAUGAAGUGAGAAUGCGAUAUUAAAGGAAAUUGAUCAUUAACUAAGAUUGACUUCUCUCAAUUUUUACUCGAAAAAUAUACCCAUUUUGUAUAAAUAUCAUUGCAUAUUACUUCGAGCAAAAGGAAGAGAGAGAAUGAAAUGAGAAUGCAUAUUAAAGAAAAUUAAUCAUUAACUAAGAUUGACUCCUCUAAACUUUUACUCGAAAAAUAUACCCAUUUUGUGUAUAGAUAUGUAAAUUGACGGUCCUCAAAAUAUAAGUGAGGUCAAGCUAAUGCUCUCUUUACAUUUUGGUUGUAACAACCCCCAACAAAUUCAGUAAAUUAAACUUUAUUAUAUAUUAUGUCAAAUAUAUGUAAAAAAAUGAAUUCAGUAAAUUAAAUUGUAUUAUGUUUAGAUUUAAAUAUAUUUUUAGUUUUAAGAAUCAUGUUUUUUUUUAUCCUUCAAAUUUUUAAAAUUAUUUUUUUUACCUCUCAAUUUUUUUUUAAAAUACUCUUUUUUAGUCAUUUUUCAAAUGUGAUUAGCACAUGUUUUUCAAACAAGAUCCUAAAUGUUUUUAAUUAAAAUUUAGAAAUGUGAUUUGUAUGGUUCAAAAUAGUCAAAAUCAUUUAAACCAAAUUUUUUUUAAAAAAAAAACAUGAAAAUUUCUGGUUAACCUUAGAAAUCUCUAAAACUCAAAAUCAAUCCGUAACUUGGUAACUUCAAAAAUCCCUUCAUCUUUUAUUUAGAAUCUCUGACCCUUGCUCCAAUCCACACACAGGAAGGAAGGUGUCGAGCCAAACGGGGAUUUCUUCUUCAGGUCGCAGAUCUCGGCGUUUCCUGAAACCUUUGUAGCAGAUCUAUUGAUCGGUGGAGUGAGGGGGAAGGACUGUUAUGUGGGAUGUUCCUUCAUCUCCAUCGAUUCCUACGUCUUCAAUAGGUUCCCUGUCAUCCUCACCUACCCCGCCAUGCUUUUGCAGUUUUGCCGAUGUGCCCUGCCCUGCCGCCACUUCCAUCGGCACUGCUAUCACCAUAUGAACCAAUCACGACUCAACAAACAACAACAUAGACUGCACCUCCUUUGACGCAUAUCAUACUGUUAGGCAAAGCCUUUUUUGUGCUGUGAGAUUAUCAAAUUGGUCCUUCAUUUGUAUAGUAUAAGGAAAUAAUAUACGAAGCCACAAAUUGAGUUUAAGAUCUAAUUUUCUUUUCUUGAGCUUUGCUUUUGCCUAUGGAGUUUAGGUAUCUUGAUGGAGGUAAUUUGAGUGAGGAUUAUAUUGGGUUUAGGGAUUUUAUGAAGUUAAAGCAGAAAUUUUCAUGUUUUUAUUUUUGUUUUAAAUGAUUACGAAGGUUUAGAAUCAUCAGAAAAUACAUACAAUUAUUCCUUGUUUGAGACAUGCUAUUGACAUUUUGGAAAAGGACUAAAAAAAAUAAAAAUAUUUUCUAUGUCUGAGGGACGACUUUUAUUUAUUUAUUUUUAUCAAAAUGGGUUAAAAAUUAUAAUUAAUUACCAGAUUAGUCAAAAAAAGAUUUAGUAAAAUGAGUGAUUUUUGGCACCUAAAAAUAUAGGAGGUGCCACCCACCUUCUUACUUUUUGUUAUUUUAUGCGGGUUCCUAUUUAGUGGUAGAUUUAUAAGCACAUUUUUAUUUAAUUUAGCAUUAAUCAAGUUGACAUAAAAUACUUGUAAAAUAAGUAAUUUUUUAUUUUAUAUGUGUCAUGAGAUCUAGUCAUUUAUAUGAUGACACCUCUUGUUUUAGGACAAACAAGUAACAGGAUAAAAUGUAUUAGGUUGCAAAAAUCACCUAUUUUAUUAAAUACUUUCUUGACAACAAAUUAGGAUAAUUAAUUUUCAUUUUUAAUCUAUUUUGGUAAAAAAAAAAAAAAGAAGCCUUUGAGGGACUAAAAGAGCCGGUUUUGAAAUUGAAGGACUAAUUUUUUUUUAUCCAACUUUAAAGGAUUAAAAACAUAUUUAAAUCAUAUAUUUAUUAUCCCCGAUAAAUGUAGAGAGUUUUAUUUUGGAUAUCUCAAACAUUUAUGUUCAGCAAAAACUUUCUUUUUAAUUAAUUUUAUCCAAUUAUUUUAUUAGCACGAUCUUACUAUUUAGUGACCCUUGAAUUGAAUCUGUUGAUAAAAGGAGCAUAAACUUUUUAUAUGCUACCAUUUUACUUAUAGGUUUUCAUAUAGGACAAAUGUGUCAUCAUUAACAGGUUUCAAACUAGUAGCAAACCAUUUUGUUAUGAAUUAUUCUCAAGUGAAAUUUGUGCAUAUUUUCUUCGUCCAUUUUUUUUUCUGAACGAAAUAUUUAUUUGAAUAAAUUACAAUUUGUUGCACGAAAACAAAAAACAUUAUCUUGAUAGUUAAAUGGUUAUGCCCACAGGCACAACAGAAUCAGUCGCUGUUCAUCUACUAUUUGUUACAUGAUGCUUAUAACUUGAAUAAGCAUAAAGAAUAUGCUUAGUUACCAUUUUAGUCCUCUAAUUUAUUUUUAAGGUUCAAUUUGUUCCUCUUAUUAUCAAAAGGUUCAAUUAAGUCCUCUAAUUUUAAAAAAUGAUUCAAUUUAAUUCCUUUACUUUUAAAAGAUUUAAUUAGACUCUUUAUUUUAAAAUUAGUUCAACUUGGUGAUAUUUUUUCUUUUACUUGCUCUGAAAAUAUUGAAAAAUGGGAGUGAAUUUGGUUUAUAAUAGGACCAAAUUGAAUUCAUAUUAAAAAAAUAAGGGACAUAAUUGAAACUUUUAAAAAUAAAGGACCUAAUUGAAUUAUUUUUAAAAAUCAUAGAACCUAAUUGAAUCUUUUAAUAAUAAGAGGACUAUAUUGAACUUGUAAAUUAAAUUAGAAAACCAAAAUUAUAAUUAAACCUAAGGAAUAACCACUUUAACAUGUGCAAGAUGAUUGAGAGUGGUUAGUUGCUGCUAGAUGAUAUUCGUGAAGCAUGGCAGAAACUGACAGGAAGGUUACCAGAUCAUAUUGAGGUUUUUUUUUUACUGCAAUACAUUUUCUCUCUCAUCUAUAUAUCCAUUCUACAUUAGUUUGGGAAAAAAAUUUUAAACUACACCACUUUUUUGUGCUUUAGGGGAAUCGGAUUUUGUCACCCCGACUUUCUUUUUUCAUUUUUUUAUAUAAAUUUAAAUAUUAUUAAAAUUAAAUAUUAUAUUAUAUAAAAUUAUUUUUAAUUGAUUUUAAAAUUAUUUAUUUAUUAAAUUAAUUUAUGUAAUAUUAUUGAUUAAAUUAAUUUUGUUAUUAAAAAAAUGAUAUUAUUAAAUUUAAUUAUUUUUGUUACAUUAUUUAAAUUAUUUAAGAUAUUUUUUGGGUGAAUAUAUGUUUUAAAAUCUGAAUUUUGUAUAAUAAACUUUAUUUUGUAUAAUAAUCUGAAUUUUAAAAUUUUUAAUUUACUUAUUUUACUAAAUAUAAUUAGUUUGUUUAUGUUAUUAAAUUUAAUUAAAAAUGAUAAAACUAAAAAACUUUUAAUAAUUUAUUUAUAGAAAAACAUUAUAAUACAUUAUCAAUAAAAUAUUUAAACAAUCAUAUUUUGACUAAAAAAAAACUUAAGAUGAAGUUAUAUUAGGACAAUUGUUUAUGCUAUAAUCAUGUUAGCGACAAAGUUCACAUUUUUUUCUACUUGCUCGUUUAUUUAUUAAAUUAAUUUAUGUAAUAUUAUAAAAUAAUAUUAUAUAAAUUAAUUAAAUAAAUAAAUAAUUUUAAAAUCAAUUAAAAAUAAUUUUAUAUAAUAUAAUAUUUAAAUUUAUAUAUAAAAAGAAAGAUGAAGAAGGGAAGUCGGGGUGGCAAAACCCAACUCCUGUAAAGCACAAAAAAAUGGUGUAGUUUGAAAAUAUUUUCUUAAACUAAUGUAGAAUGGAUAUAUAAAUGAGAGAGAAGGUGCACUCCAGUAAAAAAACCUCAUAUUGGCCACAUAUUAAUGGAAAAUUACAACCCAAUCUGCUCAUAAAGAUGUGCUGGAAUACUUAACUUAUACAUCCAUCAUGAAGCAUGCAAACUAGAGGAACUGCUAGUUUCUUGUUUGUUCUUUUCAUCUUCCAUAAAAUUUGUCGAAUGCCACAAAGCCUGUAUCAGUCCCCCAUUUGCAACAUGCAAAAGAAACACUCGAGGUAGUGUUGCAAACCAUGUUGACAUAAACUUGGCAAACACAAAAAUGCAAUACAUGCCCAGAAGAUGCCAUUUCAAAUCCUUUUCCUGUGGACACAGCAAAAGCAACUUCAUUAAUAGAUUAUAGAUUAUAAUAAACAUAGGAACAAAUCAACUGAGCAUGGAACUGUGGAUGAAAUACACAACAAAUUUAAAAUAUACCUCGGGUCUAUGAAACAAGUCUUGCGAUAUCUCUUUCAAGAAACCAGCCACAAGAAGGCCAACAAAGAGGCCAAUGGGAAUAACCAAUUCACGGUUUAUGGAGAAUGUAUAUACAACAUCCGAUACAGAGCUAAAGAUGAAAAACAAAACAAGAGACCACUUCACUGUCUCUUGUGCAAGAUUAAGUAGUCUGUCUAGGAGUAUUUGCUCAGCUUUUUUCCAAGGAAAUUCUUGAACUGAGACUGGCAUUGCUUCUUUAAGUUUCUCCCUCAUGAUCCCAAUCUGCAUCUUAACCUCACUCGGCUCAUUAUGGUCUGCCAUUGAUACUUUAAUUGAUCUAGUUCGAGUAUAAUAUGUUUGAUGGGGAAGAUAUAGUUCUGUGCAUCUAUGGAAUUGACAGGGUUGGCACUGAAACAGCUUUACCUGACACAAGAAAGGAAAGAAAUCACUACAAACGACUGAGCAUUGAGAUGAUGUCAAUCUGCAAAUUUAUAAAAAUUUUAUCCAGUUAUGUUAUAUCAAAAUCCACAAGUUUUUUGGGACUGCAACUUCAGUGGAAUCCCUUGCACAAAAAAAAUGGAUAGCAACUCGCAACAGAGAUAACACAAACAUUUAAAGUUAUAAAAUAAUAAUUGUUAUAUGGAUUUAACUAGAAUACAAUGACAAUGUGUUUUAGGUCCCUCAAUUUCAUGAUAAUCACUUUAUGAAUAAAAAAUGUGUUUUAGGUCCCUCAAUUUUGGACAAAAUUAAUCUUAAUCACUAUAAUUUAAAAAUGAUAAUUUUGGUCCUUGUAUUUUCUAUGGUGAAUUCGUCCUUCUCCCUAAUAUCCUAAGAUCCAUAAAGAAAAAGAAAAUUCACCAAUUAUAAAAAAAAUACGAUGAUCAAAAUUAAUUGAUAAUAUUAGUUUAUUAUUUGGGAAAGAUUCCUGUGAAAUGAAAGAUUUCAUUAACUCCUAAGUCAUGUCGAGUAGACUUUGUUGUUUCGAGAAUUCUUAAUUCAUGAGUUGUAGGAAAGGAUUUAUGUCAUCACAAACAGAGAUUAAAGCAAGUGUUGGGUUCAAAGCUGAUGUUGAAGAUUAUAAAUUGACUUAUUAUACUCCUGACUAUGAAACCAAAGAUACUGAUAUCUUGACAGCAUUCCAAGUAACUCCUCAACCAGGUCAUUGUUUUUAAAGUAUAGGAACUAUAACUAAUUUUGACUGAAAAAUUAACAGACCUAAAACAUAUUUUACCCUUACUUUAAAAGACAUACUUUGAGUAUUAUCUUGUCGGUUAAUAAUGUAAAAAUCUUCACACUAACAGUUAUUAGUGUAUCAAAAUUAAAUUCUCAAUACAUUCCAUCCAACAUGUUUCAGUUAAGCUUAUUCACCAUAUCAGAGUAGGACACAUUAUUCAGAUUAAUUCAAAUCUCGAGAGUUUCUCAACUUAAGUGGCAUUUCACUAUUUAUAUCCCUUCUGAACCCCUUUUAUAAUUUUAUGUCUACAUUCUUCCCCUGAAACGUUUUUUUUGCCCAAAGCAAAACUUGGGUAUCUCUCUAAACGAAUUUCUAUGUUCAAGUCUUUGUCCUGAUUUCUAAAAUAAUAGCUAAUUAGUUCUACAACACACACUGGCCAUUUACUUUUUCUGUAUAAUCGCACAAAUUUUGUUCUAUACAAAAGGACAAAUAAUCAUAAUGCAAUGAAUUAAGAUUGACUUAAUUACAAUCUAGUGGAUCAUUUUGUGUGGAAUUAAGAAGAAAAAAACCAACCAAAAACAAAAAAAGGCUGAAUUUGAAUAAUGAUUGAUAUUGCAGACAUAAUUUAACGUAAUUUACUCAUGAGAUGAUGUUUUAGUUGAAAAGAAGAAAUAGAAUAGAAUAAAAACAUACCCGAGAAAUGGGAGUUGAAGGAACUGCAAGAGAAGGAAGAAUCGCCAUAUCCUUCGUUGCUUCAGCUGCAACCCAAUCCAAUUCAGUGCAAUGCGAUGCAAUAUUACAUCAAGCGCUAGGGUUUUGCGUUCAGACAGGUUUGGGACUGACCCAAUUAGGCCAACCUUCAACGUCGUAAACCAAAGAGGCCCAUUCAAUUAUUUUUUUUAAAGAGACCAUUUUAUUUGUAACUUUUUUCUUUCACCUAAUUAUCAAUUUGAUUUUCAAAUUAUUUUAAAUAAUUUAGUUUGAUAAUUAAAUCUUUAAAAGGUUUGAUUGGAUCUUCAAAUUUUUAUAAAUAAGUCAAUUUGAUAUUCAAAUUAUCUUAAAUGAUUUGAUCUGAUAUUUAAAUUCUUAAAAAUUUAAUAAUUAAAUUGAUUCGUUUUUAAGAAUCAUUAUCAAAUUAAUUUAUUUUUAAAAAUUGGAUGAUGAAGUUAAAAAUUUUAAAAAUUAGAGGCUAAAUUAAUUUAUUCUUAAGAACUUAAACACCAAAUUGAUUUUUUAUUUUUAAAUUUGAGGACUAAAUUGAACCAUUAAAAUAAUUUGAGGACCAAAUUGAUAAUUAAUUUUUUUUCUCUUUACAUAUCUCCUAAUUUUUUUAAAUGUAUUUUUAUAUUUAGAACAUAAUUUUCAAAAUACAAAAAUAUAGGUAAGUGCGAAGAGAAAACAUGAAUGAUACAAAUAGAAUUCCCCAUUAAUUUAUAGCCUUUGCUCAUGGAGUUUCUAGUUGUUUUUAAUUUACCUGAAUUUUCAUUGAGAGAGCUAAAAUACAUUUUGAUAAUUUUAUGUUACGAACACUUUUUUUUUUUCAGUUACGAGACAUUUCAAUGUAUAUAAAAUAAAAGAUACAUCUCCUAAAAAAAUGAAAAUAAAUAAAUAAAAGAGGCAUGUCAGUGUCUUUUUUAGGGGAGGAGAUAGAUGUCCAUGUAUUGCAAUAAAAAGAGUAUAUUAACUUUUUUUUUCACUUCAAGUUUAACACAAUUGGAAAUUACUAGAGAAUCUUAAAACAAAUUUCACUAUCAACAUUAUGAUAAAUUCAAUAUUUUAACACACGAGUACACCAGAAAAACUUAAAGUAACAUUUGAGUAAAACAAAAUCAUUCAUAUAACUCACCAAUAUGCUACAUUUGAUUUUUUGUUUGGAGUGCUUCAAACUUACUUUAAAGAGUAAGUUCAAUUCUGGUUGUGAUAUAUUCUUUUUAAAAAAAAAAAUACUUUAUUAAAAAAAAGAUAUUAACUAAUCUAAAAUUUGAUUAGAAAACAAAUAAUAUCUUAAUAAAAAUUAUUUUCACUAAGAAUUGAAUUUGAGUAGUACCUAAAUAAUUUAACUUUAAUUUUAAUAUAUUAAUUAUUUGUGUCAAAUUACUUUUUAGUUGGUCAUCAUAUUCCUGAUUACUUAAAAAUAUAUUUGCACAUUAAAAUCGUUUUAAAAUUUAGUUUUGUAGAAUUAAAACUUGAAUUGCUUUUACAAAUUUAAGUUGAAUUGAAACUUAAAUAUGCAUAUUUUAAUUCAAGUGCACUUUAUAUAAUUUGCUAAACAGCCAAAUAAAAUAUGUUAUACCUUUGUUCUAUAAACUCAAAACGCAUCCAAUCCAUGACUAUCACUUACCAAUUAGAAUUUUGCACGUAGAAAACAAUUAAAUAGUCACAUAGAUACAAAUAUCGGACUUAUAUAUUUGUACCUCUACUAUUCUGCACCUUUCGCCAUCGACGAUAUAUUAAAAAAGGUCCAUCAGUUCAGGUCUUCAUAUUAUACAUUUUUAGUCAUUAUUAUGAAUCACAGUCGUAAGGCAUCGCAUAUUUUAAUAUUUGGAAUCUGUGCCUUUGACAUAGAAAUAUGCAUGAGUGGAGUACGACUAAACAUGUGAAUAAAUUAUAUUAAAAUUAUUUUAAUUUAAUCCUAUAUGUUUUAGAUUUAAGUUUUGGAUAUAUAAUUAUAUUUAAAAAAAAAAUUUAAAAAAAUUUGUUAUUCAUAAUAGGUGUAUCUAACUCUAACAAAAUUAUCUCUAAAGAGUAGGCCAAUGAUUCGUGAAAUAAAUAAAUAAAAAGUGGGCGAAGGUCGGUGUCUUGUUAUUGGACAAGGUACAACUAUAUGUCCAAAACAAUUUAAGAAAUUUUGUUGUGUAUUAGAAUUUUUGUGCAGUCAUUCUGAAACAAUUUAAUAAAUGGAAUUGGCCAAUGAAACAAGUUUGUCAGGUCCAAAGGUGUACCGAAAAUUGAAGAAUUUCACAUCUAGCUAUAGUUACUUAGUUAGUGUCAUAAUCAGACGAAAACACACCUAGUCACCCCAAAUUCAAUAAAAAAAAAAGGUACGGAUUUGAUUAAAUAUGAUAUAAAAUUAAAUAUAGUUGUAAUAUUUUAGAUAAAUAUGAUGUUAAAUUACGUUCAUCCUUCUCUUAAUUUAUUACACCAAUAUUAUGAAUUUUAUUCACCAUCAUAAUUAACAAAAAUGUUAUGAGAAUAAUUAUACGGUUGACUGGGUGUUAACAAAUAACAUAGAAAAGGAAAAGAAUUAUUAGUUUGAAUUCAUUUUAUUAGUAAAAAUUAAUAAUUUAAUAAUUAAUAUUUAUCGAUAAAAAAAUAAAAUUAUUAACAGUUAAGUUACUCACAUAAUAUUAUAAUAUUUUUAAUUAUUAUUUUAAUUAAUAGAACAUUUAAUUUAAUAAGAGUUUAAUUAAAAUUUAUUAAUUAUUAAAAAAUUCUUUAAACAACCUCAGAUUUUAAUUUUACAAACCCUAUUAUAAUGUUAGAUCAAUAAUUUAGUUGCCAACAUUUUAUAAUUAAAAAUCAACAUUUUGUAAAUUGACGUUUGAACAAAAGUUCUUAAUUUUGAAAAGUAAAAAAAAAAUCAAAUAUCUCAGAGUCAGAAUUGCAGAUUAAGUAAAGAGAUCAAAAUUGCAACAAACUAUGAGAAAUAUUAUGUUAAAUAUAUAUUUCUUACUUAAGUCAAUAUUAACAUUAUCAUUAACAGAAAAUAAAAUAAAAAUUGACAGCAGGGCAUGGUUGCCGCAAGGCGAAUGAGGCGGCAGCCUGACCCCUGUCAUUUUAAUUUUUUUAUAUAUAUUUUUAAUUUUUAAUUUAAAGUAUCUGAUAAUAAAUCGUAUGAUAUUAUUUGUACACAUAAAUAUUAUUAAAGAUUAUUUGAGAAAUUUUAUUACUCAUUUAAAAUGUUGUAAGAAAAAUUGGUUUAUACUUGCUUUAAAAUAACUGUAUGAAAAAAUUUAAAAUGCAUUAAAUGUCUUAAAAACUAUUAUUAAUAAUACUUGUAAUUGUUUCAUUGUUAAAAAUCUUAGGUUCAAUUUGAUAUAACUAUACUGCAAGAUGGUGAUCAAACGAAUUAUCAUAAAAUGGAAUGUGGAGUCUACUUGAUUAUUAAAUUUUAAUUAACAAUUUUUGAAUUAAAAAAAUUUGAAAAACAAAAUAUAAAUUCAUAAAUUAUAUUGGUGUAAGACUUACAACAAAAAAUUAUCCCAAGGCCUCAAAUUUUCUAAACACAGCCAUGAUAGAUAGAAGAGGUCUUAGAAAAACACUAUAACAAACCAAAUUUAUUUAUUUUUUAAAUUAAAAGACUAAACUGAAACCAAGCAUUAGGAUAAGGGACCAAAAUCAUAUUUUAGAAAGAAAAAAAAAACCCUAAAAGGCUAAGUUGAUUUUUGACGUCAAUAACAAUUCUCUGCCAAUUGAUUUGGGUUUUUAAAGUGCAGUGUUAACAUGAAUUUUAUUUUGGAUGACUGUUUAUAUAAAAUAAAGUACUAUGAGAGAACCUGUCGUGUGGCUGUUGUAACUUGUCAGGGCUUCAAUAACUGAUCAAACUAAUUUAUUAUUUCGUGGCUUAAUUAUCAUUAUAUAAUUUCAUGCGCUAACUCACAAGUCAAGUUUCGAUGUCUUUGUUGGUUUUAUGUAGUAGGAUUGUUCUCUCCAGUUUGUUCUGGCUACGGGAUAUUCCCUUUCACUUUACAGAGCCAAACUAUUCACACUUAAACUUAAAUACUUUAGCUAACUUUUUUUUCUUAAUAUUAAUAUAUUAUUAUGUGAGUUUAAUAUUUAUAUAUUGAUAUUAAAAAAUAAUUUUAUACAGUCAUCUAAAUAUAUAAAUUAUUGUUUAAAUUAUAGAUAUAUAAAUUAUUAUUUAAAUUAUAUUAAGAUGAAUAUUUUAAAAAUUAAUAAAUUUAUCAUACAUAAUAAAUAUUAUAAUUGGAUAGUUAUGUAAAAUUUUUUAGACCGUGGAUAGAUAACCAUUUUUCUCUUAUUAGUUAUUAUAUAUGGAUUAACCUUAGAAGUUUUUGUUUUCCUCUAUCUGGCGGCUUUCAAUUUGUGCAGCCACCAUACGUAGGUAACAUGGUUUAUCACAUUAAACUAAUUAACCAUUCACAUUAAAUUACUGAUGGCUAUAGUGAAUUUGCAUGUGCACGCGUGUUAAUAAGAAGAAAAAACCCUAUUCUUUUGAGUUUUUCUUAUGAAUCAUGACUCAUGAUGGAGUUAAUAAAGAAAUCCAUACCUUCUUUCAUUAAUAGUCGCUGCAAAUGGUUCAGAUACAUACACUUAUUUUUUGGAUAUAUACAGAUCUAGAGAGUGCCUUUUAUGUUUGCCAAGUGAUAAAAUCAUAAGAUAUAUUGCAAGCUAAAGUAUUAUGGCCAACCUAAUUUAUUUGUUGAUUAAUAUAUAAUAAUUGAGACGCUUUAUACUUAAGUCUGUUAUGGACCCCGAAGAUAUUAUAUUAUACACAUUUUGGUUCAAUUAUAUAGCAAGAAUGGAAUCAGCCAUAGCGGCCAAAGUUUGAAACAGUUGAGAAAAAAAUCAUUAUAGAUAUAUAUCCAGUGUCAAAUUAUGUCAAGUGUCAACCAACCCUAACAAAUAAUAACCAUGGCUUACCAGAAUAUCCACAUAGUCAACUCAAAUUCAUCUAAAAUAUUACAACUAUAAUCAAUUACAUAUACAUGCACAAUCAACAAAUAAUCUUAUAACAGCAAUGACUAAGUUUAUCUUUAGAUCAAGAAGUCAAACAAAAGGGAGGUCUAUAUACUACACACAUUUGUAGGUUUGGAAACUUGGAUGUGAUAUUGUAAACCUAAAUAAUCUAUCUCCGUUUGAUCUUUUCUUUGUUUUUCACACUUAAUCUUGAAGUUGAAAACCAGGUAUCAUGUGAAAAUCAUCAGAAAUGUGAGAGGUCUUCGCUAGGUAUCCCUUGUUUUGUGUAGAUGUGAUGAUUUAAACAAACUUCCAUUCCAUUUUUUUAAAAGUGAAACUAAUUUAUGACGAUUUCGUUGAUCAUGACAUGACAAAAAUAAUAUCGUGAAAUAUAUAAUAAUAAAUUAUCUGCUUACAUACAUGCCGUAACACAUUGGAUUCCAUUCUAAAUAAAAAUUAUUGAAGACCGUAAGAGGACUUUGGUCCAUUAAUGUCUAAAUAAUUUAAGCAAAUAACAUAGCAUGAAAUAUAUUGGGUGGAACUGAGAUGUAAUCAAACUUGUCGUUAGGAUGCAUGCCAACUACAUUUGACCAGAACGCUGACAAUCCCAUGGUAGAAAUUCAAAAUGAUAUAGGAAUAUAAUAUUUAAUUGAUGAAAUUUUUCAUAAUUGUUAGUUUUGACCAUAAUGUUAUAGGUUAAAGGUGUGGCAAUUAACAACAAUACUUUAAGCAAUGCAAAGCUGUCUUUCGUUAAUUUGUGAUAUUGAUGGAAACCAAAUGUUGGAAGAUAAAUGUGCAUAUCAUGCCCCGGGGGAGGGGGUAACUUUUCUAUGCUUUUUCUCCCCACCGAUAUUGAUAUUUAAAUUGGUACAUAUGAUAUAAUUAUAUAUAUUACUUUGAUUUUAGGGUACUGGCUCAGAAUUUCCCUAAAUAGUAAAUAUUACUGAACAUUAACUGUGAAUUAUCUACUAAAUUUUGAGUCUCUAACCUCUCCAGUUUCAUAAUUAGAUGCAUGAAAUGUUUGAUUCAACUUACUUUUUUAACAAUUUGUUAAUUUUUUAAAAGAAUUUUAGAAAUAAGUAAUUAUUUUUAUAAAAACAAUCACAACCAAACAUGCAUUAAGUCAAAAAAGAUUUUGGUCUUUAUUGUUAACGUUCUAUAUGAUUACUAUAGGCAUGUAAAUAUGGAUUUAGUGGGAUUGAUAUAUGAGCCACAAAAUCGAAUCAUAAUAUAGGUACGUAUAUAGUUUAUAUUUCCCUUUUUUUCUGGGUGUAAACAAAAACAUAAAAUAAAAUACGUGAGACAAUUAUCUUAUUUGGAGUAUGUGUGUUUCUGGAAAUCAUGGCCAAUGUUCUGUUGUGUUUGGUCAUGAAAAGAUAGACAAAGCCAUUUGAAAAGGAGAUGUGUUAUUAAUUUGGACAAUAAUUAUAUUAUUUUUCAAUAACAAAAUUAUUUUUAAUAUAAUUUUUCCCAUUCUUUUUUUAAUGAUUAAGAAUAGAUUUAACAUGUAUAUAAAUAAUAAUAAUGGAAAUUUUAUUUCUCUAUACUUUUUUUUAUGAAAAUUUCUCUAUACAAAGUAUUGUCAGUUAUUCUUUUUCUUUUUUUAUCAGCAAAGACGAAAAUUAUUAUUAUUGAAAUAGUAUAAUUAAAAGAAAAUCCAGCCAGGUAUCGUCGACUAUUCUAAUUCUAAUGGGGAAAAAACAAUCUCAUGAUUGACAGCAUCAUAUUCAUUUCCGUAUGUUUUUAAUCCUUUUAAAACCAUUAGACGGAUUGGGUUUAGGUUUUUGCUUGAAUUGGUUUCUUGUUUGUGUUGCCUUUUUUUAGGGAUCUUUUAAUUUUUGUUCAAUUUGUCGGCCAGCUGACGGUAGGAAACAAAUUGAGGAAAUUUUCUUUCUUAAUUUAGCAUCCAUUGUUUGGUCUUUAUGGUUGUUGAUCAAAUGAUAUACAUAGUGUUAAAUAAAGGAAAACGUGAUUUGAUUUCUACAUUAGACUUUAAUUAAUACUAGAUCUUAUUGAUUUUUAGGGAUAAAUUGGAGGGUUCUGUUUCUUUUGUUUUCGGACUGGUGUGUUUAUCAUUUCUCUUGAAUUGUUCAGUGUUUAGGGAUAAAUUUUUGCAUCUAUUUCUUAUAUCCAAUUUUGAAAAAAAAAUAAAAAAAAACUAAAUUAAAAAAUUUACUCUCACAACAUAGAGGCUAAAUUGACAAAUUUUUAGCAUCUUAAGAACCAUUUAUGUAAUUUAACUAUUUUAAGAAUUAUAUAGGACAAAAGACAAUACUUCAUUAACAAAUUGAUGCUUUAUUCAUGUACUUCCACCGAUCCUUUUACACAGGAUGACGUUAUUAAAUGUUUUCUUAGAAUAAGAAAGAACUCUGGACCAUGACUUUUCGCUGUUUUGACAAAACCCGUUUCUAAAAGUUUCAACUAAUUAAUAUAUAGGGCCUAUCAGUCUUAUCCCUACUUAGGUAGAGUGAAAUGAAAAAAAGAAAAAGUAGCACAUUAAGUGAAACAAAGGGAAAUUUUAAAUCAAAUUUAUAACUCCGGCUUUCCAAUAAAUCAAUGUUUCAGUUUCAUAUUUUAUAUAUGAUAUAUGAUGUACGCACGUUAGGUUACUGUUGAAGAGAAAUUAACUUAUAUCUAUUAUAAGUGUUACUGUGAUCCUGACGAGUGAUGAUAGAUUCACUUAGCUUUUUUUCUUUUUUGGGUAGCUUAAGAUACACAAAACUCAUCUAUAUAUUAUUGAAAAGUUUUGUCUAAACACGGAAUGGAAUUUGUAUAUGUAAUUAGGUAUAAUUUAUUUUAAAAAAUGUAAAUACUACUGAAAGUUAAAAUAAAAUGGGAUAAUAAUUUAUAAUAAUUGAAAAUAAAAAUGUCUAAAAAAAAUGACAAAAUAAAAUAUUUGUCUUUAUUAAUAGUUAUAUAUAUAACAUCUUCCCAUUAACACGUGUAAUAGUAAUACUAAACUUUAAGUUAAUUAUUACACAAUCUAAAUCUAACUAGUUAAUUGAUUUUAUUUUUUAUAACAUCUAAAGAAGAUGGAACAGCUAUAGUCUAUCAAUUCUGAAAUCAUAUAUAAAAAAGGAUGCUAAGCAGAGUCACGUAACUACAAAUCAAUAUUUUUGUAUAGAUAUGAAACUAUAUAAGAGGGCCUAGCUAAUUAACUAGAGUACCUUUCUCACAUAGAGAGCAAACAAAAUCACCCUAUUUAAAUAUGUCAUUUUAUGUUAUUAGUGUUCAAUUCCAUCUACAAGACAUAACUCGCUCACCAUAAAUAAUAGAUAUAUGUCAUGUAUAUUUUAAUCAUGUAGGAGUGACUCCAUUUACAAAUAGAAGAAAAGAUAAUAGAGAAGAGAGAGAAAUGUUAACUGAGAUGAAUAAUGUAAUAAAAAAAACAAAUUGUAAAAGCUAACCUAUUUAUUGUAUCUCUUCUUUUCUCUUAAAGGAGAUAUACAUGUACACACACCAAUCACAUUAUUCAGUUUGACCGCAGACUAUAUGGCACCGUACUUAAUUAGUGCACUUUACCGCUAUUGCAUAGAAUUUGCAAAUCAUAAAUCAUAAAUCAUAUCACACAUAUCAGUUAAAACACGAAAGAUAUUUAAAUGAUAGCCAAAUUAAUACACAAAACAAGAGUCCGAAGAAACUACACUGCUACCAGCUAGCAGAUGAUCAACAUUCAACACUAGCUAUUAUAUGACCCUCAAAAAAAAAAAACUAGCUAUUAUGUCAAAGACUAAUUAAGCAUAAAUUGAUACAGCUACAAUAGCUAGUUAUAUAUAUAUAUAUAUAUAUAUAUAUAUAUAUAUAUAUAACUAAUUUUAUUGUCUAUAAUAUUAAUCAGUUACCCUUUUCCCCUUGUGAUAAAUGGCUAGUAGCAGCUGUUAAUAAUGAUAAAAAUAACAAAAUAUGUACAAGAUCAUGUUAUUGUGCCCUGGGGUAGCUAAAAUCUUGCAAAACACAUUCUUGUAUCACACCUUGACCUUGGUAAGUGGAAGCAAGUGAAUCAUGAUGAUGAUAAAUUGGAGUGCUAGUUUCACCCCAGGUUGUGGUAGUAGUAGUGUCUAUUAUCUUAUGGUCGAUCAUGCCCUCAUUAUACAAGAACUCUAAACCAUCUGGAUAAUUAGAAGAAGACACCAUUUCCUCAAACGACGGAGUGAAAUUACCACCUUGCCCUUGCACCAAGUUAUCAACUCCAGGGUAUUGACCAGUUUGUGCAAAUUGUACCUCAUUGUUGUUGUUAAUAGUGGCACUAAUGCAAGCAGCAGAAGAGCCAACAUGGACUUGUUCUUGAUAAAUUUGUUGCCCAUGUGAUGAGAAUUCAAGGUUCAAGCCAUCAAGGGUAGGAUGGUAAGAAUCACCUGAAAAUCUUCCUCCGAGUUUGAUAAGGAGUUUUUUGAGGGAAUCUUGGUCGUUAAAACAUGGACCUUGGUUUUUGUAUGGCAAAGGUACUUGUAGUGGUAGCACAGGCAUGUUAUUAAUAUUCUGUGGCCAACAUGGUUGCUGUUGAUGUUGUUCUUGAUGAUGAGUAGUGCUACCAUUUUCCUGAAGCAAAGAUAAGGAAGAAGAAUCACCAUCAGUAGUACCACUCCCUCUAUUAACAUCAUUUUCUUGCUUAACACUGUUGUAAUUCCCUCUAUUACGUGGCUCUCUUCGGUGCUUCCCCAGAAGCUUCUUUUUCAGCCUCGUGUUCCAGUAGUUCUUUAUGUCAUUAUCGGUUCUUCCUGGCAAUUGAGCUGCAAUCACCGACCACCUGCGAUCACAACAUGUAUUGUCUAUUAUAGUGUGUUUAGAAACUCUUUGAGAAAUAACUAUUAGCUUUUUAAUAAAUAUGAAAGACUGUGUAUCUGAAAUGUGAAACCAGACUCGCUCUAUAACUAUAGCAACGUGUAUUAUAACUAACAUCACAGUCUUAAUUAACUAGUAAAUUUAAUUAGCUAGGACCGAACUAACAAGUAUAUGUGUAUGUACAAACCUGCUUCCAAUACUGACGUAAAGGCUGCAAAUAAUGUCGUCUUCUUCUACGGAGAAACCACCAUGUUUGAGAUUAGGGCGAAGAUAGUUUAGCCACCUAAGGCGGCAACUCUUGCCACAACGCUUAAGGCCUGAUUCACAAAAUUAAUAUAAUUAACUAAGACAUACAAAACUAGUAUUUCGUGUUGAUCAUAAUGGUUGUUAAAUUAAUGAGAAUCACCGAAACCAAAUGCUAAUUUUGAUUGAAAAAUAAUACUAUAAUAAUUUUGAUACUGUAUUAACUUUAAGUUUGAUCAAAAGGAAAUUUAGAAGUCUGGAUGCAAAAAUUUUCUUUAGUAAUGAGUCCUUGGCUCCUAAUUACACAUAGAUAAUCAAUGAAAGGAAGAUAUACAUGUGAGUGAAUCAAGGAAACCCAAAUUCAUAAAUAGGGUUUCAUAGAAAGUAGUGUGUGUUUGUAGUAUAAUAUGUAUAUACCUAUUUUUUGAGGCAAAGCAAUCCAGUUACCACCAGUGCCAUGCUUUUCUAUGUAGGAUUUGAGCUUAGCAUCUUCUUCUGGUGACCAUGGACCUUUCUUCACGUUUGCUUUGUCGCAGCAAGGAGCCCUGCCCAUAUUGCCUUUUUGGUUUUGGUGUUGCUGCUUUCAGCUUUUUGAUUGAUUGGGGCAACCUCCACUCUUUAAUUACAACCCCCAAGUCAGAAUUAUAGGAGAGAGAGAGAGAGGGAAUAAGAAUUAUUAAUAUAAAAACUUUGAGGGAAUAAACAUGAUUCCGAGACCAUCCAUUGUACUAUUUUUAUAUAGUGUGUGGCAGAAAAGAAAGGUAUAUAUAUAUAUAUAUCGAAAAUUCCUGAAAUUUAGUAUUGCCAGAAUAGGAGAAUAAGGUUUGUUCUUCUUGUCUUGCUUAGACUAGAAUCAAUUUUAAGUUGUAUAUACUAUAGGCUAAAAAUUUUAUUUUUCUUACAACUUUUUGGAGUCCACUCCUUGUGACCUUUGCUGCCUCACUGCGCAGCCAUAUAUACAUGCAUCUGACAUAGAGCAGUCUUCUUGUUACACUCUUCAGUUUUUUUUUCUCUUUACAAAAUUAUAAAUGCAAUUAUUUGCUUACCUUUUUUUUUUCUCUACAAAAUCAUAAGCAUUAUUUGUUAUUUUCUCAUCUCUCUUAAACCUUGUUAUACCACAUAGCACUAUAUUUUUAUGUUCUAGCUAUGAAAAUGUAAACUAUAAGUUUUUACAUUUUCCUUUUGUUUGAGUCAUCAAUGUUUCUCAUUAUUUAAUUGCGAGGUAGCUUUUGUCAAUGCUUUGAAUUUUGCCUGUGAAGGUUGUCCCUUAUAUUAAUGUAACGUUAAUACGUUUCCAACUUCAAAGUUGACCGGCCUUAAUAUCACUUUAGGGCAAAGAUAGUCUUAAAUACACGCGAAGGGCACAAUGUAGGCAUAUAUCGCUGCCUUAACAGGCAGAUGUACCUUUCAAAAAUCUAUGUUUAGACUUCUUUUCAAACCGGAGAUUUUAAAAAAAAAAGAAUAUAGAAAAAUAUAUAUCAACUUCUAAAGGAUAAUCUUUUUAAUGGGCUUUAAUGCAGAUGAAUAAGAAAAAGUGAGAUUGGUGAGAAGGAUGAUUUGUAAAAAUAGAAGAAUUUAACAAAUCCAUAAUUACAGUGACAAGGAGACAAAGAAAUAUAAUAAAUAAAUUUUAAACCUAAAACUUUAUCCAAACUAUUUAAUUAAAAUACCACCAUUAGAUCAAUUUGGAUAACAUAGUGACCUUUGAAAGAUCUUUUACGAAAUUUAUUUGGAAUUAAAAAAUGACACAUAAUUCUUAUAGUUUUUUUCUUAUAUAUAUUAAUAAAUUUUAUAAUCAAAAUAUUGUGUAUAAGUUUUCAUAUUAUAAAAAAUUAUUAAAUAUAUAGUAAUUGAUUUAACUAGUUAUUUAUUGAAAGUCGCCUCUUCUAAAAAAUUGAAUGUGAGAAACAAAGAUAAUUUCAUCAGUAACUCACCAACCAAAUUUCAUCCAAGAAAUGAAAUUAAAAACCUGAUGAUGUUGAUAUUUAUAAGGUCUCAUCAAUUUCAUUGCGUUUAGUCUAAAAUUGAAAUAUUAACAAAGUUUCUAGAAGCAAAAGAAGCAGGGCAAUACCGAUCAUUGAAUUUAUGUGGAAAACUAGCGCGGGGGGGUAAUUUCUACCAUAUUUUUGGUUGGUGAACAAAUGAGUAACAAGAUAAUAAGAGUGCCGUGAGAACUUGGCAGUAUGCUGACCAGUGGGAGCGAGCACUACCCGUUUUUCUAAUACCCGUCUCCCAGCUCAAGCCAUAAAAUUAAUAACUCUGCCAAUGCAUUUUUUUUUUCUUUUUACAAAAUAGAUAUUCUUAAAAUGUUUUCUUACCAAGUUCUUCGCUAGUCCAAUUUGUAAGAAAUCUCCUUCUCGGUGUGGGGUAAGAUACUUGAAAAGAAACUCCAAUGGUACAAUAAGUAUUUUUGUUCAAGGUGUGUAAAUGUCAAUAGAAUGUAAUUAACUUAUCUUUUUUUUGUGUGUGUGUUUGGCCUUUGCUUAUAAUGGACGAGAUGAUCGACCUGAUAACUAUUCCAUCAUAUCCACUAUGGAUGUGCCAAAGAUGGUGGUUGGUUAGUCGAUCACUCGUGGGUCUUGUACAGUACAUAAGUUCCCAAGCUGAGUUUGAUAAAGACGAAAGAGCUUAAUUGUGAUUCUAAUGUAGGCAUGACAAGCCAAAGCGGUCAAAUGAAGGUUUUGUUUGGCGCGGUAACCAUGGAGCAACAAAAUGAUUAACUUGUUUUAAUUGGUCGAUCCGCUAUAAGAGAAACGAUUUACAACCAAUCUGUUUUAAUUGUUUUUCCUUCAACGAGUAGCAAUGAGCAAAUUGCUCAAUCAACAUGGCCUCAAUCAAACGUUAUGACGCACGUGUACAUACAAGGUGAUGACUUUUCAGACAAAAAGAAUCAUAACCCUUCGAUUUAAGACACAAUAGUCUAGGUGUAUUUUGAUCGCACCACGUGUGAAUACGUUUGUGGUCUUAAAUGGUCAUGUCGCUUUGGAUGGGGUAAAACUCCAAAUGGAGGUGGUGCUUCAAUUUUCGCACCUACAUCAUGAGUUUGUAACUCUCGAUAUUAUCAUAAAUGGUGAGAAAUCAAAAGGGUUUUGAAGUGAUUCUCAAAGUUGUAUAAAUAGAGGACUUUUCUACUUCUAUCAACACUUCAUCUUUUCUUAUAACACCCUUGAUUAUUGACAACUCGAUGGCUCACACUUUACGACACUUUAUAUGGUGACACUUCACUCAACAUCCUUGUUGGUCAAAACUCUCCACUAGUUAAAACUUUCCAUAAGUAGUCUUUUCUGAGACUUUGAUAAUUUGUUUUGGCUGCUUUCAGGAUCAAUGGCAGUCUAUACCAAUAUGAAACUUUUUAGUGUGCUUUGUCUUCAUUCACAUGCUUUUUGGGAAACUUGUAGAAGGACAACCAUCCUAUAAUUGCUUGAAACCAAACAUGCUUAACUAUGUAGUUCUUAAGUGAUGAUCUACUGAAAAAUACAUGCAUUUUGUUGGUGUGUGUAGUACCAAUUAAUUCCUUUAAGUCAUCUUCAAAUGUAUAGUUUUACAUCUGCACAACCUUGGAUCCUUCAUAUAUUUGAGUGCGAUUCGUCUGGGGUGUUACAUUUUGAGAGGGAUCAAAGGAUGUGCAGAUGUGACACUAUACAUUUGAGGAUGACUUAAAAGGAAUUAAUUGGUACUACCUAUACCAACAAGAUACAUCUACUUUUUAAAAGCUCAUCAUUUAAGAAUUCUAUAAUUAAGCGUGCUUGACUUUGAGCAAUUAUGGGAUGGGUGACCUUCAAGAAGUUUCUUGAAAAGCAUGCGAGUGAGGACAAAGCACGCUAAAAAGUCUCGUGUUGGUUUAUGGGGACAGUCAUUGAUCUUGGAAGUAACCAAAGCAUAUUAUCGAGGUCUUAAAAAGGGCUACCUAUGGAAGGUUUUGACCAAUAAGGAUGUUGAGUGAAAUGUCAUUGUGUGAAGUCCCAUAGAGUGAGCCAUUGAGACGUCAAUAAUCAGGGACAUUACAAAUGGUAUCAGAGUAAACUUCUCUCCUAGUACGGGUGGCUCGAGGACGAACCAAGCAAAACCUGGUGGGCAUGUAACACCUCAAACAAAUCAUACUCAAAUGAGAGGGAUCCAAGGUUGUGCAAGUGUGGGACUAUAUAGUUGAUGAUGACUUAAAAGAAUUAAUUGGAACUACCUAUACCAACAAGAUGGAUCUAAUUUUUGGUAGCUCAUCACUUAAGAAUUUCACAGUUAAGUGUACUUGGCUUCAAGCAGUUGUAGGAUGGGUGCCUUUCUGGGAAGUAUCUCAGAAAACGUGUAAGUAAAAAAAAACAUGCUAAAAAGUCUCAUGUUGAUUUGUGGAGACAUUCGUUGAUCUUGAAAGUAGCCGAAGUAGAUUAUUGAGGUCUCAAAAAGGGUUAAGUACGAAGGGUUUCUAACUAACAAGGAUGAUGAGUGAAGUGUCACCAUGUGAAGUGUCGUAGAAUGUAAGUCGUCAAGACGUCAAUAAUUAGGGGCAUUACACUUCCCAUCUUCCAUUUGAUUUUUUUUAGUUUGAGAGCUUUCCAGUGAAGGGUUGAGUUAGGGAUGAUAAAGCUUAGCUCUCAUCUCUUCGCUUUAUCUUCUUGUUAGGUACGUUUUCAAAUAGUCUACUCCAUUAGCUUUCUUCUAUUUUUCUUCAAAAUGUCUUACUCUAUUUUUGAUGGAGACGAGUCUCUGAUUGUCUGUCGAAAAUCCAUGUUGGAGAAAGAGAUUUUAGGCAUAUAGGAAGAGUUAGAAUCAUCCUUUGGCUCUUAUAUUUCACUUCUUCUCUCUGAUGAGGGGAAUUUUCAAGACCUGAUGAAAGGACCAAGAGUGACCUCCAGUGUUAAUGAGUCUGAUGAGGCAACACUGUCGAUGAUGACAUUGAAGUCAUCCCUAUUGAGUUUGAUGAGGAAACAUAAUGGGAUGUUUUUUAGGAGUUUUGGAGUGAGAUUGAUGUAGGAGAUGGCGGUGAUAUGACAAUUAGUGGCACUAUACUAGAGAACAUUGUAGGACUUUCCGCCCUUAAUCCAAGAAAAGAAAGGGUAAAAGUACAUGUUCUAGAAAACCUAAGGAGAAAAAGAAAUACCCUUCAAUCACUCUCCUUAGUUAUACUUGGGUAACUAGAGAGGUCAGAACCUACUCCUCUAUCUUUCAAAACACUGGGUUAAUCACUAAGUUGAAGAAUAGGGUGAAUCUAACAUAUUUCAAUGAUUUCGACUGGGCCAUUAUCGAUCACUGUCUUCCCAUUGAACGAGUUUAUCUCAGUACUGAUAAAGGUCAGCCUGAUUUCACAUACAUUUGUGAAGAUAUGUUCAAGGAUUUGGACAUCAUCCUUCCUUUUAUUGAAUUCAAAUGUGGGGUUUUGACUGAGAUGAAUGUUUCCCCUACACAACUUCAUAGGAACAGUUGGACUUUGCCAUAAUUAUGGACUUCCCUAGGAGGAUGGACAUCAAGGCAAUUCUUAACUUUCCUUAUUGUGGAAAUGUUGAGAAAGCUUUAGAGGGUGAAUACUGUGUUAAGAUUUGAAUGUUAUUAGAAAAUAAUGUUGUCAUUAACCUUUUAUGCAUAUCUGUAGGCAUUAUGAAGAGGUUUAACUUCAGAAAGAUAAGGGCUUCAAUGGUGGUGUCCCAAAAUUUGAGCAUACCACCAGUGCUUGCCAACUUGGUGAAACCGAAGAAAAGAAAGAGAGUUACCUAAAUGGUCAGUCAAUCUGGUGAAGAUAUUGAUAAACUUCAAGCCAAGGUGGCUAAAAUUGGAGUGACUGAGAAGACCCUACCGGAGAUAGAGAAGGAAAAAGAAGUCUCUGAAAAGGAGAUUCUAGAAAUUGUUAACAUUGAACAAUACACUAAUGAAGGUGGAAAUGUUGCUAAUGUGACUCAUUCACAUAACAUUGAGGAGCUGAUUAUCGCUUACGAUGUGGCUAUUCCAAAUAUGGUAAAAUCAACUACUACCACUGCUUUUCCAACUACUUUAAGCCAUGUUCAAAGUAUUUAAAGUUAAACUCUUACUUCUAAGGUUAAAGUUCUUAUGUAUUGUUUAGCCUAAAUAUUUUUUCUCCCUUUUAGGAGAAGUAAUUCCUUAUUGAACAUUUCAUCAGAAAAUUGAAGUGAAGGUUUGAUUAUCCGACAUCAUCAAGGACCUUUACGUAGGAUUGAGCACGUGACGUCAACUCUUGAACUUUUUUCCUUAUGGAGUGUUGAAUUCAAGGUGUUUGAGUUCAUUGCGGUUGACAAACUAGUUACAGUAGUAGAUACUAAGAUGAUGGAUUAUGUUGUAAUUCCUUGGACUCUACCGAGGUGUUCUUUCUUUGAUUUGCUGCUUCAGUAUGCAAUUGGAGGAUUAAGUAUGUUGAGUUGGAGGCCAAAUUUAAGAUGAUCUUGCAGGAGAGGAGGAAAUUGAUCAAGGUCAUCAAUGAGAAAAACCUUUUGUUAACAAAGAAGAUUGAGCUCGUUGAUGGCCUUCAACAAAAAAUUGUCGGAGAAUAUGGUUUCUACAAAGGCUUUUGAAAAUGAAAAAUUGGUCAAGGCCAUUAAUAGUCUUAAUUUGAAAUUCAAUACAACAGUUAAAGAUUUAUCAGAAACCAAGAGAAAUAUCAGUGCUUUGAGCGAUCAACUAACUAUAGUAUAGGAAAAGAAGAAGACCCUUAAAUUAGAAAGAGAUGGUCUUUUGAAAGAGAAGAAAUUGUCUGAUGAGGCAACUUCAACACUUCAAAACCAACUUGCUAGUUUUGAAAAAGAGAAAGAGAAGGCAUGUGUUGAGCAUGCAUCGCAGAUUCCAACAAGUCUUUAUGAUGGGUCAUGAAGAUGGCUUCCAAAAAGCUCUUCGCCAAAUUUCUAUAUUUUCUCUUGAGAUAGAUGUGAAGAAGUUUGAUGUGUUGAAGGAUGUGAAGAUAUAAAAGCAACUCCAAGCCCUGCAUCGGCCUCCAAUGCUCCAACUGCUUAGUUUUACAUAGGUUUUUAUUUGGAUGAUUAUGUAUGCCAUUAGGCAAUGUGUUUUAUUUUUUUUAAUAUAAUGAUGUGUUUAACUUUUAACUUAAUGAACAAAAGUAUUUUUUUCAUACUUGUGUUUGCAGAAAUUGAAAAAUUUCUAAGUGUUGAUUAAAUUGUUUAAGUCUAACUAUACUAAAUGGAUAAUAAGUAAGCUUUACUUAUCAGUAAACUUAAAAAAUGACUAUUACAAACUUAAUAGUAACUAGGAAACUUUUAUUGAAUAAACAAUAUAUAUAUAUAUAUAUAUAUAUAUAUAUAUAUAUAUAUAUAUAUAUAUAUAUAUAUAUAUAUAUAUAUAUAUAUUGACAGGNNNNNNNNNNNNNNNNNNNNNNNNNNNNNNNNNNNNNNNNNNNNNNNNNNNNNNNNNNNNNNNNNNNNNNNNNNNNNNNNNNNNNNNNNNNNNNNNNNNNNNNNNNNNNNNNNNNNNNNNNNNNNNNNNNNNNNNNNNNNNNNNNNNNNNNNNNNNNNNNNNNNNNNNNNNNNNNNNNNNNNNNNNNNNNNNNNNNNNNNNNNNNNNNNNNNNNNNNNNNNNNNNNNNNNNNNNNNNNNNNNNNNNNNNNNNNNNNNNNNNNNNNNNNNNNNNNNNNNNNNNNNNNNNNNNNNNNNNNNNNNNNNNNNNNNNNNNNNNNNNNNNNNNNNNNNNNNNNNNNNNNNNNNNNNNNNNNNNNNNNNNNNNNNNNNNNNNNNNNNNNNNNNNNNNNNNNNNNNNNNNNNNNNNNNNNNNNNNNNNNNNNNNNNNNNNNNNNNNNNNNNNNNNNNNNNNNNNNNNNNNNNNNNNNGAUAAAUAGAUACUAUAAAAUAUAUAUAUAAAUAUAUAUAUAUAUAUAUAUAUAUAUAUAUAUAUAUAUAUAUAUAUAUAUAUAUAUAUAUAUAUUGAAGUAGCUUUUAAUCAUUAUGUCCUUAUUCCUCUGAACCCUUCGCUUUGUGUCGAUGUACUAGAUCUACUCAACUUUGAAGGUCGAUAUGCAUUUGCGCAAAGACAUAAUGCCAAUGUACUAUUGAUACAAGACUUGAAAAGGUCAUCACAUAGAUUUGAGUAAGACAUAAAUAGGUCAAUACACAGUGUUGGGUAAGACAUUUUCCAUUCAGCUCAUGUUUUUUUAUUUGCAAAUAUAAGCACAUGAGUAAUGAUGGUAACAAAUAGUAAAUGAUAUAAAUUGUAAAUGGAUUUCAUUAAGUAAUUGUAAUGAUAAGAGUUUCCUUUUACAUUGACCUAGGAACAACUUGUUAAAACCUCUUCAGCCAAAAGACAUUAUUUUUUUAUUUGGGAUAAAAUAUUAAAGUAGGAAAAAGAGUACGACACCUGGUUUCUAAUUGAAGUAUGCCUUCAAGUGUGUUGCAUUCCAGGUCAUUGGGAUGACCUUUCCAACAAGCUUUUCAAGUCUGUAUGCACUAUUCUGGAAUGUCAUUGAUUCUGAAGGGUCUUUCUCAUUUUGGAGCAAGUUUCCCUUUAGCAUGAUCCUUGCUAGCUUUUUCUCUCAUUUUCCAGACCAGAUCGCACUCUGAGAAUUCUUUUCUCUUCAACUUUGACUCAUGUUUCUGAGUUGCUUUCCUGUUACAUGUUUCUUCUUGAAUUUGAGCAUGCUCUAUGACUUCAUCAAUCAUAUCCAAUUGGAAGGCUAAGCUUUCAUUAUUGAGUGUUUCUUCAAAAUAUGCUCUUCUUGCUGAGGGUUCACCGAUUUCCACUGGGAUCAUGGCAUCAAUGACAUAGGUCAGUCUGAAAGAAGUUUCUCUUGUUGUGGAUUCUGGAGUACAGUGGUAUGCCCAUAAUUUGUUGGGCAAAUCCUCAACCCAAAGUCCUUUUGCCUUACCUAUCCUUUUAUUCUUUUCAUUGAAGAUGUCCUUAUUUACUGCUUCAACUUGCCCAUUUCUUUAGGGAUGCUUAACUAAGGAAACCAAGUGUUUGAUGCCAAGUUGUUGUAGAAACUAUUCAUAUCCCUUGUUUGUAAACUGCUUGCCAUUAUUCGUAACUAUGGCAAAAGAAAGGCCAUGUGUGCAAAUCAAUGAUUUCCAUGUGAACUUUUGAACCUUCUAGGCAGAGAUUUUGACAAGUGGUUUUGCCUCAAUCUAUUUGGUGAAGUAAUCAAUGGCGACUAACAAAAACUUGAGUUGACCCUUUACAAUUGGUAAAAGGUCGAGUAUGUCCAUUCCUCAACAUGAAAAUGACCACGGUGAAUGUAUGCUAUGCAUUCUCUCUAAGGGCGCAUAGUGAAGAUUGCCAAACUCUUCGAAUUCUUUAAUUUUUUUGAUACUCCGUGCAAUUAGUUUGAAUUGUUGGCCAAUAAUAUCCAGCUCAAAGGACCCACAAUGGGCGCCAAAUAUUCUUAUCAAGUUCUUCACUGGUUCCAUUUGUAAGUAGCCUCAUUCUCCUUGUGCUAAGCUCCUUCUUCGAUAUGGGGUGGGGUACUUGAAAAGGGACUCCGAUGGCAAAGCAAGUGUUUGUCUGAGGAGUGCAAAUGUUAAUAGAAUGUAACUUACCUUUUUCUUUGUGUGGCCUUUACUUAUAAUGGAUGAGAUGUUCGACCUGAUAAUCGUUCCACCAUGUCUACAAUGGACAUGUUAGAGAUAGUGGCCGGUUAGUCGAUCACUCAUGGGCCCUGUACAGUACAUAAUACAUUCUGAUGGCACGAGGGAAUGAAAAAAAUUAAUAAAGAGGAAGGAAGGAGAUGAAAAUGAUAGAUCCAACAAAGCAUCAUAUUUGAAGAUAUUUAAAGAUGUUUAGCAUUUAUUAUCCUUGAAGAUAUUUAAGGAUAUCAAAAGAUAUUUAAAGAUGUUGAAGAUAUCAAAAGAUAACAAAUAUUUAUCAUUUAUUAUUUAGAAUUAAUAUGGUUAGGAUAUGUUUUUAUCUUAUAUUUUGAUUUGUUUCCUUUAGUAGGAUAAGGAUCUUAUCUUGUUAAGAUUUAUUUUCUCUAUUAUCAUUUUAUCUUAUCUUUUGUUUAGAUAAUAUUAGAAGGAUUUGUUUAUGUUACUUGUUUUUCUACUUGUCUAUAAAUAGGAAAGCAGGUCAUGGAAAUGGGAAGAAUAAGUUGAAUAUUUGAGUGUUUUUUCUAUUGUGAGAGUUUCCACUUUGUUCUUCGAUUAAGAACUUUGUAGUAUUAAUUCUACAUGCAGGUACGGUGAGGGUCAUGUUUUUUCUUUGAUAACUUUUGUUCUACCAGUAGUUUACGAUAAAAAUCAAAUCUUAAUAAUAAGGUAAGAUCCUUAUCCUACUAAAGGAAACGAAUCCAAAUAUUCUAAAUAAUAAAUGAUAAAUAUUUUUGUUGAUAUCUUCACCAUCUUCAAAUAUCUUCUGAUGUCCUCAAAUAUCUUCAAGGUUGAAAAAUGCUAAAAAUCUUGAAAAUAUCUUUAAAUAUGAUGCUUUGUUGGAUCUCUAUCAAGAAAUGAAAGGUGAAUUCCUUUUAUUAAUGUUGUGUUUGUUUCUAUUGAGAGAAACAAUUUACAACAAACAAAAAUUACUUUUUUUUUAUCUAGUACAAGUAAUGGAUGAGAGAAAUAAAGUUUAAAAUUUGUGGGAAUCAUUAUGAAAUUUCUCACCUAUUUUUACUUGUUUUUGUAUCUCUCUCCUCAUCUUUCCUCUAUAUCUCUUCAAUCAAACCACUUUACUUAUCACUUUAUUUUCCCCUUAUAUGUACUCAUUUGUCUAUUUUCAUUCACUCUAUUUCUCCUCUAUACCAAAAACAACCUUAGUUUGGUUUAAGGAAAAAGAAAGAAAGAGGAGGGAAUGGUCACUAUUUGGUACAUAAUAAAGAGAAGGAAAAUAUAGAUAUUUUAUGAACAAUAAUAAAAAAGAGAGAUUACCAUCUAUAUUGUUAGAGUUUUGCCAUUUAUUAUGGUUUUAUUCGGUUUCAGCAAAAUUAUUGUUGGUGCCCUAAAUUUGGGUUUAAAUAUUAUGGGGUUGAAUUGGUAGUUGAAUUGUUAAGAAUUGAUUUGUUAAAUAAAAUGAAAAGGUAUUGAACAACUGGACAAGAUCUUCACUUACUCUUUAGUUAGGGCAAACUCAGAACAAUCUCCCAAGGUUCCUUGCACUUUGUGAGGUCACAAGCACCUCCCUAUCCCCACAUAAGCAUCUUCUCCAGCCCAAAACAAUUGUCGUUGAAGAUGAUGUCGAAGACAUCGUCAUCCUUUUCCUCAAUGAUAACCUUCUCGAUUUUGCAUAUGGUGGCAUUGUCAAUUCACGACCUUCCCUCCACAAGACUACUACAAGAACAAAACCAACAAACAAUUUCGCGACUUAAGGUUUGAGGGAUGAGGAAGCAAUUUGCGAGAAUAGUGGGAGAACACACAUUUAACAUAUCAAAAAUGAAAUUUUAUUAACCCUUUAUAAAAAUUAAAAUGUUAAAAAUAAAAUACAAAACAAAAUAGAAACAUUUCUCCUAAAAAACACACCACAUCAAUGUUUAAUCCAUGUGACAAUCUUGAACUUGAUACAUGUCUCUACACAUAGACGAUUAACAACAACAACAGACAGUGAGGAUGAAAACUUGUAAUGAAGUAAUAUAAAACUUGAAGGACCUUGACCAAUUAAAAAUUAGUUCAAGGACUAAAAGUUGAAAUUUCAAAGCAACUCCAAGGACCAAAAACUUAUUUAAUCCUAAAUAAAUUAAUGACGAGGAGAUUAAAAGAAUCAAAGCGAAUAUAAUAUUUUUUUAAAAUUAUGUUUCAUUAAUGUUAGGGGUAAUUUUGGAAAAUAUAAAGAGCAAAUUAUACUUGCAUCCUUUACCAUGUGUUUGGAUGGGGAUAUUUAAUAAGGUAAUUCAUUUUUUAUGGAAUUUAAAUUGCUUCAUUGGAAAAUCUCGUUUGGAUAGGAUAUUUGAAAAGAAAUUUAAAUUAUAUUAUUUUUACAGGGUAUUUUAAUCAGUUGAAAUGUUAGAAUUUCAAAUUCUUUUGAAAUCUAAAGAAUUUGAAUUUCUUUUUCUCAGAAACGCUUACUCAAGCUCUCGCUCACGACUCUGUCGCUCUCUGGCUCGAUGCUCGCAAGUUGUAAUGAUGGUUACGCUUGCAAGUUGCAAUGAUGGUUACACUCAUUGAUUCUCUUGCUCUAUGCUCACAAGUCACAACCACGACUUCGUGUACAACCUUCACUUGCAGUGGUUUAGAGGACUCUCUUAUGCACCUGGCGAUUCAGAUUCAUCUCUUUUUCCAAUCAUAAUAGCGAUCCCCAGAAUUAGGGUUUCAUGAUUUGUCUCUUCUACUUCCUUUUUUUCAAUUUUUUCUUGUGUUUUUUGUGCAAUUUUAUUUCCACCAAUCACUGCAGAUGAAAAAGCUAUACAAUCAAAUUAUCAUUUGUAUGAGGUAUCACUGCAAAUUCCCUUUUUUUUAAAAAAAUAUUUUGAAAAUUGAAGUUAUUUUGAUCUUCUUAAUCAUAAAUUCUUGAUUUGAUCUUUCUUAUUUUGAUGUGUGACUGCUCCAUCAAGAACUGAUAGAAAAAUAUAUGAUUGAGUCUAGAUACUUACGCAUGCACUUGUUAAAAGGGUUACAAAAAUAAAUUAAUAAUUGAAUCACCAUUGAGAUUUUGUGUUUUGGCCCUAUAGUUUACUGAUUUAGAGUUUGUUCAAUCAUGCUCUACACUAUAUCUAUCUUUUUUUCAAUUUAUUUAUGCAUUUUUAGAUUAUUUUGGAUUUGAAGAUUUGGAUUCUUUGUAAUUUUGAGCUGCCCCAAGGAAAGAAUUUACCUUUUGAUUUAGGAGUCAUAUGACUCAUACUUGGUUGAUAUUGUUACAUGGCUUAGCCUUUACUAGUUCCACUACUAUAAUGCUUGAUGAGGCUAGUAAUUGGUGAAGCACAACAUAAGCUUUGGAGAUAUAUCCACUUAGAUGCUUAAGCACUUACCUUAAUCAAGAGCAUUAAGAACAGUGACACAAAGAUUUGCAUGAUGGGUUAGUCACUUAGUUAAUAUGAUUAAAGGAAAGCUGUGAAAUUAGAUUAGGAAGUUUAGAUUUUGGUUCCAAGAAUGAAGGCUUUUAUAGUUUGUUAAAGGCACAUGGUUUCCUACUUCUUAUUUCAGUGUCUGAAAUUUCAGUCGUUAAAUUUGUAUGAUUUUAAUUUGUCUUUACUGUUAUUACUCUUAUUUUUAAUGACUAGUUUGAAUGAGUUUUGUGUAAUGCCUUAAAAAUUUUGUAUGCUAUAGGAUUGGUGGAUUUGAAAGCCCCUUUAACUCUUAAUUAGCGAACUCUUUCAGUUUUCACUUUUCAUUUUGGAGAUAUCUUAAGUUUAAUUAAAAUAAAAGGAAUAUAAAUCUUAUUAUUCUUAUCCUGUUAUUAUUAUUCCUAGUAAUGAAUUCAUUGAAUUGAAACUUGAAAUAAUAAAGGUUAUUGAUCUAACAAGUUAGAAUCGUUAUGCUAGCAUGGCAAUUUAUUAAUGUAUACAUCCUUUUACUGAAAAAGUGUUCUCUUUUUACUUUUUAGGAUCUUAUACCAAUGCCUCUUUAGUCCUUUCUUCAAUACAAUAUAUUUUCUUAUAUUUUUCCUCAAUCAGUUAUAUAUUUAUUAAAUCAAUCACCUUCUACAAAUGCUUGUGCUAGAUCUUUGGGUCACUUGGCUACUUCGGAGCUUGAGUUUCUAAAUAACAAUAUGAAAAAGACCCAAAACUCAGCCCUGACAAACAAAGAGAAGAGUAUUCACACAUCUGCCUCAUUCACUAAUCCUAUAUUAACAUUUAUAUUGUAUAUAUAUACACUAGAAGCUCUUUUCGGCAAGUAGUAGUAAAGUCAAACAAGCAAAAUCUUAUUUUAUAUAGCUACCAUAUAAUGCUUAUGUUGAACUUUUGAUAAUUGUAUAGUUGGGACUGAAUACUUUUCUUCAUGAAUUUUGCCAUGUUUUCUAUUUUGAUUAGUUUUGGAUAUCCCCUUAUUGGUAUGUAUCUAAUACUGCUACGACCAAUUCUUGGUUGUUAGUAGCCGAGUUUUAAGUGCAUAAAUUGUAGUGUACAAGUGGACUAAACAUAAAAGAUUAUUUUGUGAAAUGUUUGGCUCUUAAAAUGAACUGAUGAAUUGCAUAGUUUGACGUGUAAUAUAGGAUUUCAAAUGUAUUAUUUGAUAAGUUGAGAUUUGACACUUCACACUUGCUAUGCAUGUUGAUAUGUCAAGGCUAUAUGUUUUAUUCGAUAAGGUUUUGUUUUGUUAGCGUAUAAAUAAAUAAUUGAUCGAUUUUUGUGGGUUUGUAGGGCAGGGUAAUGUUGACUGGAUUGAAGUAGGAUGUUCAAGGAUUUAUUACUUGAGUGAUGAAGAUUGUAAAAAGCACAUGUCAGGAAAACAAUGACUUAUGAACAAGUUUAAAAUUACAUUAUUUAGCUUUCUUUUAUAAUUACAACCACAUCGUUUGAAAUAACAUUUGAAAAAGUUUUGUGCUUAAAAAUUUUGAAUUAUUAUUGGAUGAUAUUUACCUUGAUAGUGAUUUCUUGUUUAUGUUGUGAUUGUGGGUCGCGCUAUGUCACAAUAAUGAUAUUGUGUUUUUUGUUAUCAAUUAUUUCUCAUGAUUGUAAUUUUUAUUACUAGAGUAAUUUUCUCGUUGUAGAAUGGAAUAAUUAUUAAAUUAGUAAAUGAUAUUAUAUUCUUAUUUUGUAAAAAUUAUCAAUAUUUUCAUUAUUAAUUAUUAAAUAUUUAAAAUUAUUAUUAAAUAUUCUCUAACAUUAUUUUUUGGAAUUUAAAAAAAUUUCAUUAUAAAAUGUGAAUUUGGGUUGGAAUCUAUUGUGAUAGACUUGUUUGUGUCUGUGGUUCAUAAAAAUAAUAUAUAAUUUUCAUUUUGAUGGAUGAAUAUAAUAAAAUGUAAAUAUAUUUUUUUUCGUAAUUGAAGAAAAUAAAUUUGCACUUAAUCUUCCUACUCUUGGAAAAAUUAAUUUUUUUUGUUAAAGAUUUAAUAAAAGUAAAUUAAAUAAUAUUGAAAAUUUAAUAUUAUAUUUAAAUAUGAACUUAAAAAUAAAAUUUUACAAAUGGAGGAAUUGAAUUGCUCCAUCUAAAUUAAAAAUUUGAAAUUCUAGAAAUUUGAAUUGAUUUAUUCAAACAAAUUAUUUAGAAAAUGAAGGAAUUUUAAAUAAGAGCAUGUUAAACAUCUAGCAUUUCAAAUUCUCUAGAAUUUUGAAAUUUCCCAUCCAAACACAUAGUUAGCUUUUUUCAAAUAACGUUGAAAGCAUUACAUUAACAUUCUUUAUAUAUUAUAUUAACUCCUCUUAAAAAUUACACUAACACCCCUAUAAGGGAGGUUAUUGUAAAUAUUAAAUUAACAAUAAUAUUGUGUGUAAUUAAAAAAAACUCAUGAGAUACUAAUGUAAUUUGCCCAAACAUAAAUUUAGGACAAAAUUAAUGUUACAAAUAAAUUAAUUAACUCCCUUAAUCUAUGUGAAUUAGUUAAUUAGGAUUAUAAAAUGGAGAGAGAAGGAAAUAUCUACUAAGAGUCAAAUAUUAA
rnacentral:lncRNA from 1 species